rnacentral:lncRNA from 1 species
UUUUUUUUUUUUUGAGUCCUGGGCCGAACCGGAGAUGCUCUUACGGUCAUACCCAUGUUCGGCCCAUUAUACCUGGACUAGGCCGGGCCGGCGUUAUCCGAGAGUUCUGAAGGCGCGCUGCUCAUCCGAGAGCUGGAAGAAUCGGCGGCGCACAUGGAGGCGCAGCCGCGGGAGAUCUUCCUCGGCGCCGGCGGCCACUGCUUCCUCGUCCUCGUCCUCGUCGCUCACGUAAUACACCCAAACCCUACCUCGUCCCGUUUCUCUUCACCUGCGGAUGUUGCAUCAGAUCCGCCUACAUCUGCAAGUAGGGAUUAAGGCAUAGAUGGAUUCUUUCUGCUUAGUCUCGAAGAAGAAAAGCAAUCCAGAUUGAGACUUUCCCACUUUAGAUCUCCAACAUUGCAGAUAAUAAUAGAGGGUGUCGGUCACCGAUUCUCAAUUUGCUCUGAAAUUCGUAUGUGCUCUGCUUUUAUUUUUCUGUCAGCAUGGACACUUGCCAGAUACAUUAUUUGAUUGAGAAAUACUAGGCGAUUGUGGUGUGUAAUCUGUAUGAACAAAGAUCUACAAGAAACUUAAACAAGCCGUCUAUCUAGCGCGUAUUAUAUACAUAUAACUUCCCCAUAUAAUUUAUAUUCAGUUUUUUCAUCAUUGUUGAUCUUAUUCUGAACUUCUCAGGAGCGACAACUCAAUGCGAUUAGUACCUUUGUUCAGUUCAGUGUAUGAUGGGAACAUAGUUUGGCGUUGAUGUCCUAACGACACGCAUCACUCAUGUUUUUUAGAAUCUUGGUAGCUCAUCUUGGUAACUCAUGUUCUUUUUUAUACAGUUAUACCUUGUUUCGCAAGCCUAACCUUUUUCUUAAAUUUGCUUUGUUGAACAGGGAGAGACCCAUCAUGCAAAUAAUGGCCAACAGGACAUGUUCUGCUUCUGCCUCCUCACUCUUUGCUUCAUCUCGGCCACAAGGAUGGGCAGAGCUCCCGGACGACCUGCUCCGACCCAUUGUCGCUCUACUACGCUCGUUCCGCGACCUCCUCGCCUUCGGUACCACUUGUCGUCAUUGGUGUGAUCUCUUCUCAGCACGCAGGUCCUCUCUCCAGCCUCUGCUCCUCCACCCCAAUCUCCGUACCGACGGUGGACAGACUCUCUCGCAUAACUGUUGGACCUUAUUCCACAAAGGCGCAUGGAGAUUGGCUGACCCUGCUGCCACCUCAUCCUCUCGCAGUUUUCUUUCCUUGAGUGACCUCAGAAGCAUGACCUUUCUGCGCUACUCCCAUGGUCAGCUCAUCUUCUACGACAACAAUGGGUUCCAUAUUGUUAAUCCGUUCAGUGGCACUAAGGUUGGUCCUCCUUCCCUCCAGUCAGUUCACUUCACUUGCAUCAGCUAUGUCACCUUAACUGCCCCUGUUGCAUCCACUGAUUCGCAUCUCCUUGUCGGUGCUGGAGCCUAUCUGUUCCUGUGGCGCAUCGGGAGCGACUCUUGGACAAAACACAGUCCUAAAGUUGUUCGUUUUUCCAUUGAACAAAAUGUGGCCUUCAAGGGCAAGACAUAUGCCCUAGGGUCUUUCGGGUGGUUCUACAUCAUUCACUUGUCACCCAGUCUCAUUGUUGAGAAGUUUAAAGUUGUGUUCGAGGAAGAUAAAACCGAAGAUCUCUAUUCGGCAAAUGAAAAAGCAUGGCUACUGGUGUGUGGUGACACGCUUCUCUUGAUCAAACUUGUGGAGGCGGGAAGACGGAUGCGCUCGGAGGCCUUCCAGUUCAUGCCCUUCAAGCUUGAGUCAUUGGACACCAUGACCAAGAAGGCAAGGUGGGUGAAAGUGAACAAGUUAGAUAACUGGGCCAUCUUUAUCAGCAUUGACGAGCGGUGCAAGGCGUUGCCGUGCAUGAACCCAGAGGGAUGGGGAGGAAGGAGCAACCACAUAUACUUCCCAAGUUAUCAGUCUGAAAAACCUUGGGCUGCAGUCCAACUAUGGGAAAAAUGUUAUUACCGUUCGACACAGCUCUUCAACACUGGAAGACGGUACCUGAAAUUGGAGUCAACCUGGGUCUUCCCCGCGCGUUUCCUUGUUACGUCCUGCGAUGAUCUUACGGCCGUGAGUGCGGUUGAUGAUUAGCUUCUGAUACAGCUUUGGUGGGAGGAUUCUACUAUGUUGCAGUAGCAAGAUGAGUAGUUCACUGAAUGUUCUUGACGUGUUUCAAAACUUGCAUUACAAACAGAAGUGUAGAUUAAGUUAUCAGAUUAUGUACUUUCCUCUCUUUUUCUGUGGCAAUUACAAGGGAGUUUCUUACAGAUUGUGGAGUUUUCUUGUACCUGGGCACUUGAUAACAUGGGCUAGGCCUGUAACUUCCCUUUAAUACAUAGAUAGCUAAGAGUAAUUGUACUAUGAUUGUUGAUUAUUCACGUGAUGUGCUUGAGCAUAUGACAGUCUUAUUGGGUGGAAAUGUGAAUCUUGAGAACAUAGCUUGGGCAGAGCUACCAUUUUUUAACUGAACAUUGUACGCAUUUUGGGCUGGAGAUUUGCAAGGUCACCAAGAAUUAGAGUGAGGAUGCAAGUCCAUAGCAUCAGGUUAAUAUAGACUGCAAGUUCAGCCAACAAACAUAUAACCAGCAUAUAUGCAUUCAGCACAAAUUUUAUAUUUCACACCAACAAAAACUAGGCAGACAGAGUGUUCGACAACCAAAAAGCUCUGCAUUUGCACGUAGCUUCAGCAAACAGCUCUGCGUGCAUUUGAUUAUCUCUGUUUAGAAGAAGAUCAAGCUACAAAUAGAUGUAUGGACCAAACAAAGCACAUAACUAAAAUAAAGCCCAGGCACAUAUCUGACAUGGUGCACACAAAAAAUGCUGAAGACCCAAGGAGCUAGUAUUGAUUCAGGAUGCAAACCCUUAUCUUUUGUAUGCAAAAGAGGAGUAAUUAACAAAGUUCAGUGAAAACAGCAACAUGUAGCACAAGUUUUGCCUCCAGGAAUGUACACUGGGUGGCAAACAGAGAUUAUUACAAAUCUUGAUGUACUCCGUCAAAGGAGCUGAAACUAGAAGGAACAUAGCGACAAAAAGUCCCCAAGUGCAGCCAACGACAACAAGACAACUGCGCGCUGCAAUGACACGAUCUCAUACCCAAGCUGCAAAGGAUGUAGGAUUGCGAGCAAGAUAAGCAUUGAUCGUCGCAAAACAAGGUUCUGGCUCCAACUCCUCAUUUUGGUUGCCAUCUACUGGGUAUGAAAAUACCCGAGCAUUUUCAUCCAACUGAUAGACAAGGCCACCCCUUAAACCCAUUCUCUCUGGAUUCACUAAGAGUCGUGGCUGUCUAUUACGUUUCUCGCCAAAGAAGAACGCCCACUUCUUCAAGCCUUCCUCUUCCACGAUCACAUACUUUGCAGGUUCAGUUGAGAAGUCAAUGGAGAAGGCUUCCCCGUUACGACCAAGUAGGAGAAGUGUGUCUUCACAAGCCACCAAAUUUCCGGAAAGCACGUACGGGUCCAUAUAAUCUCUGCAAUCAACUCUUAGUACCUCAACAUGAAACUGAGGUGCCAAAUGCACGGUGUAUAGUUUUUGACGCAUCCUCAUAAUGACCCGGCCUUUGAAGGACACCAUCUCCUUGAUCAAAUGUGCAUUUAGAAAAUCGCAGUGCAACCAAGAGGGGCUCCCAACUCGCCAAGCGUACAGGCAGUGCGGGCUGCUGACAAAUAGAUAUGAAUCUGGUGACGCCUUUGGAGAUAUGAAGGUUUUGUAGCAUAGUUGACUCAAUGGGAAAGGUGGAGCUGCAACUGUAGUGCCAUUGAGCACGUCCAUAAUGACAAGGGAUCUCUCGUAGCAGAAAAUCGCAUGACCAUAAGAACAUUUGACGACUGUCAUUUUGUCCAAAAUACUUGGAGGGGUCAAGCGACACAACGGAGUACUUGGAUAUACAGGAUCAAUGAGCUCCCAUGUGUUUCCAAUGUUAGAGCCAGCUGAGCUUGUCUGGUCGGCACAGUUCCGGAAAAUAACAGGUGGGAAGAGCUCUUCUAAGGUAGAAUUGAUUGACAUGAAUGCGGCAUACCAGCUAGGGCAGGUGGCGAUGAAUGCAAGAAGGUCACGGGUUGAACCCAACAGGACAAUGAUGGAGUGCAAUAAUCCGUGUGGUAGGUCCGCCCAGCCUUCGGGUCCAAACAUGACACGGUGCACGGAGAUGGGGGUGUUGGAGCUCCGGUUGAUGUUUUGCAUGAUAUCAGCUUCAAAUUCUGCAUUAAGGAUCAUGAAAGGACAACAAUUUUAGCAAUGGACUUGAGUUAACUAUAUAAUAUAAAUUGCUAUCACUAUUUUAAUUAAAUUGGUACUACUACAGCUAUGAUAAUUAUACAAACACAAUAAAAAUGUUUGUAGAAACUAUAAACAUAAUACAUAGUAGAGCAAAGACUACAGUAUUGCCAUCGAAAUGUGCAUCUGCCUCAAGAAAAUUUGAUCAUGAUAAAAUUCAUCAACAUUUGAAAAGAAAAGGCAAGUUCUGUAUUUUUCUUUCCACCGAAUGUUAUUUAUAUAUGUUGCGCAACAGGUUUGGCUCUUGUCUCCACCUCGAUUCUGGGCCCACAGAUACGCGAUAAAUUUCAUCAACAUUUGAAAUUAAAAAGUGCAAGCAAUAUUGAAAUUCUAAGAUUGUUCUACACUGAUAGUGGUAAACCCUUGAACUAUUUCAUAUGUUCAUAUAGCAUAAACACAACAGGAUCGCACAUCCACCAACAACACAUACACUCAGAUCCCCAAAUCAUCCAUGGCAGAGUCAGGCUAACAAGAACAAAAGUGCGAUGAGCGCGUCAGAGGAGGUCGCCCCCAAUGGGGGUGAUGGCGGGCCAAGGAAGAUGAUCCUGGGCAGCCUUGCACGGUGGAGAACUCUGUCUGACCAUGGACCGUGGCACCGGACAGCGAAUAUAUAUACUCGGCCAACCCACGAGACCAUGUCCUACACAGAAAUUGACUUAACCUAGAUCACAUCGUAUACUACAUAUUUGGACUCAAGCUUGACUCAAACACGUGAACUCCUACUAGUACAUGUACAUGACUUUGGUUAGUCCCCAAAGAAAUAAAGCCACGUGACAUGCAAAGCACCAACUACAUCAUGUUCCAAACAAAACAAUCAAGAUUAUGCUAACACUAGCGUCGGCCCAUGCACAACCAAUGGCUAUCAUGGGUUCCCAACUCCAGCAGGAGGUGGGAAAGGUCUCGUCCACGAUACCGGCAAUCACUCCAAAGUUACUUGUAUGUACAACUCAGAGCAAGGGGGUAGAACUCGACAUCAACUUGGUUCCUUCCCUUGCCAGGGGCUAAACCCGGAGGGCGGAGGUGAUUCAAGGCCAGGCCUCCUCCAUGAGUCCAGCAGCCAGCAAGGAAAAUGAAGUGGGCGAAGUCAACCUCAACAAGGCUCCUCCCCUACCCCUGGAGCCAGUAACACGAAAGCCAAGCACCACAAAGGUAAGAAUAGCCUCAAGGCUAAGCCAGGGAAGUAAGUUGAUCAAUCCCUGGUGAACACCGAGGCGGUGUUGGGUAAAUGCAUGGGACGUGACAGUGAGUCUGGUAGUGAGUUUGUGGCGACACGCAGUUAGAAGGGUCCUGGUCUGAACAAGAAGGCAUGAGGUGAGGGUAAUGGAGGUGGCAUGAGCAACAUAGGUGUGUUAGGCGGUAAGGAAGCUAUCGGCCCAUUGGUUGCCGAUGAAUGACAUGUGAUAAGGAAGCACCUAUCAGGAGAAAUGAGUCGCCUGAUCUAGAACUAUUGGGGCCUCGGACAGUCUUGGAUAGUUGAAGAGCUAGUUUGCCUCGUGCACGCAUAUACCACUUGAUGAUCGUUUUACUUUCUGAAACUCAGCAAUAUGAAAAGAGUUUCAAUAAUGUUAGGUGGAUGCUAAGCCGCCAGCAUUGUAUUGUGCAUGAUGGUAAGGGCAAGGGUGCGCUGCGUUGUUCUGAGAUAAAUGAACUAAAAUAAAAAGACUGCCAUAUGACCUGAGGUACAUCAAUGUCUUAAUUCAUGAUGAUUCCCGUGGCCUGAAGUGUCAGGCUACAUGGUGAACCUAAGGAGUAAGGAAGACGUCACAUCUGGAGUUUACUCAAAAGAAUAGAGCCAGAUGCUCAUGAACACUUGUUGAUGAUAGGUGAUUUUUAUGAGACGAUGUGGCAGCGUGAGCACUUCUCAGUAGCUUGGAUAUUCGAGAGAAAAAUACCAAGUUCAGAGAAGCCUUGUUCUAGUGUGAUCUUCAUAAUUAGGGCUAUAAGGGGCCUUCCUGGACAUACGAUAAUAAACAGUAUGGCAAGAGCAAUGUGACCGUCGGGUUGAAAGUGCAGUUGCAUCGUCGGGUUGGUGUGAUUUAUUCAGAGUGAACAAUGGUACACACAUAUUCUCCAACCACUUUCCUCUAUGGCUGCAAUACGGAGACAGACCAAGGUGCAUAGCAACGUGAAAUCCUUUCGGUAUGAGUAGAUAUGGGAAAGAUUAUCGUCGCCGGAGGAAACUACUGAAAUCCCUGGCCGAUGACUGCACUAAGCUGGGAGUGCUGCAACAGGAUGUUUGGUCCUGGACAUGAAAGAUUUUGGGUCCAUGAUAAGCAGUACUCACUGGCUGAGAAGGAAUAUUAUAGUCACAUACUGAAUGCACUAUCUUAUUGGUUGCGGAUGGUUGGGAAAGCAUCUUAAGAAAGCAGGUCUUGGAAGGGAGGUUAAUGCCUAUCAAAAUUGUUGAGGGAGCCUAGGUGUCUCUAAACUAAUGUUUGUUGAUGGCAGCCUUUUGUUCUUCAAGGCCGUAUGAAGAGAGGUGAGGGUAGUGAAGGACACUCCAAAUAUAUUUCAAAGGUGUACAUGAUAGCUUCUUAGCCCGGAUAAAUGCUCUUUAUUAUUUAGUCAACACUGCUCGCCCCAUGUCCAAUAAGAGAUAAAGGUCACCCUUGGUGUUGUGGCUUCCACUUUUGAGAGUAAAUAUUUGGGUUUACCAACCCCAGAAGGUAGGAUAUUUGCCUCGAAUUUUAGUCAAUCAUGGAAAGGUUCACAAAAAUGUGCAAGGACUGGAUUGAAAAGUAUAUGACCCAUGCAGCUAAAGGGGUCUUGAUCAAGUAAGUGGUUCAAGUGCUUCCCAAUUACUUAUUUGGAUUGUUCAAAUGUCCACGGGCUUUUGUGAUAAGUAUGAAAAUUUUAUCUGGGACUUUAGGUGGGGCGAUGAGUAAGGACAUCACAAGUCAAUUGGCUCUCCUGGUACCAACUUAUAAAACAAAAGAGAGGAGGUGUUCUAGGAUUCUGGGAUAUGCAUAUGUUUAACCAAGCUCUCCUGGCAAGGCAAGGGUGGAGACUGAUUCACAAGCCGGAUAGUUUAUGUUCCAGAGUAUUGAAAUCAUAAUUAUCGUUGUGGGAUAUUCUGGACAUGGUCAUUUCCUCGUAUGCAUCCCCCGCUUGGAGUUAAGAUACUCAAGGAAGGCAUCAUCUGGCAUAUAGUGAAUGGACGAAAAAUUCAGAUUCAGAGAGACAACUGGAUUCUGAGACAGUAUGGCCUCAGGUUGCCAAAUUCGCUAGAAACUCAAGGUUGAGGUGGAUUAACCAGUUGGUUCUCUCGAUAAAAAAAUAAAUGUAAUAUUAACCUUGUCCACAGGCUAUUUUCUGAUUUUGAUGUAGAGGAGAUAUUUGGCAUAAAUCACCCUUCUAUGUGAUGGAUGACGUGCUUAUAAACUUGCCACCCAACUCAAAUCCAGGUACAACUCCCCUGCUUCUAGCUCUUCAAGUGCGACAUAUAAUUGGAGUAUUUGGGAUGUGAUUUGGAGAGCUAAGGUUCCAGAGAAGGUUAAGGUCUUUGGCUGGAGGUUGCUACUGGCUCACUAGCUACACAAUUGUGUAAAUUUAUAAAGGCGCUGAGUGUAACACCAUUUGUGCUAUUUCUGGUAACUAUGUGGAGCAUGAAUUCCAAUCUCCACAGUGGCUUUGGGAUGUUGGCUAGUGUCCCAUCAAUACUUCUUUUUUUGAGGGAAUUGGUGUCCCGUCAAUACUUAAUGCCCCUCUGUCUAAUGAUUUCAAUCAGUCUAUGGUAAUAUACAAGUCUAGUGUUUUCCCUCAAUUAAGUAAAAUAAACACAACUCAGAGAUCAACUAAUUUUUACCUUAAUUUUUCUAGAAAAAAAUAGGGCGAGUUCUUCCCCUACCUUCUUCGAUGUUGAUAGCGGAGGGCGAAGUGGAGGCAACAACUACCUUCUCCGAUGCCAAUCGUGGUAAGACGUGGCCAUCGGAGACAGUAUGCUGCUUUCCUUCAUCGCCAAUCAUCAUGUUGGCUCCAGAUCUAGGAAAAAUGGCUUGUCGCCCACCCCUAGGACUCCAGAUCUGGAUGUAGUUGGUCGCCCAACUGCGACGACUCCAAAUCUGGAUGUGGUUGGUCGCCCACACCUAGGACUUCAGAUGUGGAUGGAAACACAGUAGGAGCCCACGCGGUUGUCUCAACGCAUCAUCCACCGCUCAAUAGUGGGCGGUUCAAGCGCAGUCGGCGUGGAUGUCGAGGGGAAGGGGGAACAUCUGUGAUGAGAGAGAGAGCGUGGGGGGGGAGAGAGAGAAAGAGAGGAGGGGAGGAGAGUGGCGUGUGGGUUUGUUCGUUAUAGAAAAGCUUUACCUGUAGAUUAUUAUGUGAGCCUGCAUACCACAACAAGACCUCCCGUCCUCACAUUUAAAUUGCCCCGCCCUCUCCCACGUGGUGGGCCCACUUCUCACCCUACCGCUCCCAAAAAAGCGUGUAGGAUGAGAGUUGUGCGUGUUGGUCAGUUUGCUUGCUGGAGCGAGCAAACGCCAGGGAGUCAAUGUGAGGUGCUCCCAGCAAGGAGACGAAAGACAUCAUGCAACAUGCUCCGACCGACCUUGAUUCCUACAUACAAAUAGUGAACCAUCAGAUGCCAAUGACCUUGCCUCACUGACCAGACACCAGCGGCUCCACUCCUAGACACAGGAUGUCGGUGUGAGGUACUCGUUGUUCUCCUAGAAUUCUUGUAGUUGUCCGCCCAUAUUUUUAUUCAUGUUUCUCCCUGUCAACCAAGACCCCUCUACUGAAUUUCCCUUUGGCUUGAGAAUGACAGUUGUGACCUCCAUAACAAUGCAACACUCGUCACCCGACCUCUCCUCUUUGUCCUAUGUGUCAUCCUUGCCGAUGAUAGCAAAGUGGACGAUGCCAAUGACGGUGAUAUCCGCUCUAUGCCAAGGAUAGGCACCGCAUGCGAGGGAAUAUCGGUGAUCCGACACCCAUGACACAAUCCAUAAGGAUGUGUCUUCUUUCCAUCGAAACCUUCUCUCCCAGCCGAAGAUGACACCCCUCCUCGAUCUUCUCGUCGGCAUCCACAGAAGGAACUAUCCUAAUGGUCUAUCGAGACUGAGGACACCCGAGCACCAUUCAGAUAUGCCGCCAAGAAAGGUGAUGGAGAAGCACGUUGACCAUUGCACGUGCAAGGUAGGGGGAACCCAGUUAGUAAACUGUAAUAAUGAGUUGUAGUGUGCAUCACAAUUAUUGCAUAAACACUCUUUGAUUAAUUAUAAAAAAGAGGAUAAUUCAAAACCUCAUAUAAAAUGUUAUAAAACACACUCAAAUAAUCAAUGCACUGGUAUAAUCCCGCUAAAAAAUACUGAAAUAUUUACCAUAGUUUCCUUAGGGGGUGGCCCUCUCAUUUAACUAGGCAGACAAACCCAAGAAGGAAACACUCAUGAGAGAUAUAAUCAUUUUCUAGUGAAAAAAAUAGUGUUACCAACUAAAGAAAGAACAAGCAUGCAUGUAGAACACAUGAGCAAUGAUGUACAUCUGAUUCUUUUUGAAAGAUAUACGAAGGGGCACAGAUAUCGACAUAGAAUAUGGAGUGAGUGGAUUAAAGUUGAGUGGUAGUAGAAUCAAUAUUUGUGACAUCGCACCUUUCAAAGGUUCCAAAUAGUCACCGGCUUCGUUAGUAACAAGUGUAUCUGAAUUAUCAUCUAGAAACACCAAAAGUUAUCCGAAGAUUCGUUUUCUGGUGGUAUAACAGUGUCGGGUUCAUUGAGAGAUACCGAAUCAUGUUCAUCUAGAGCGUUCGCAUCCUCCUGCGACAUGCUGACAUCUAGGUUUUGCGGGACGAAGCGGGACGCCGGGCUAGAACUUAACCCCAGGAACACGAGACCAUGCCGUGAAACUCGAAUAUUGUCUACCGAAGGCUGCAACAGUCAGCUUGAGCCUUGAGGCCACACCGAGGAAUGUUCUUCUUUCUGGGGCUGAAGAUCCUCGCUCUGCUUGUUUCCGGAAUCAUUGCUUCUCCAUGUUUGAUCGAAAUUAUGUGAGUGUCUCCUCUUUGCUGAGCACUGUCCCUCUUGCUCAUUGGGCCCAAGAGAGACGAUUUGGCACGUACCAUGAUGUGGAGCACGCACGAAAAGAGAUCCACAGGAACGGAGAACGCUAUCUAAGUAAGCUAAGUUGAGCAUCAUUAGCAUCCAGGUCGUUGUAGUAUAGUGGUAAGUAUUCCCGCCUGUCACGCGGGUGACCCGGGUUCGAUCCCCGGCAACAGCGCAUUUUUUUUUGUUUGGCGGCCCACGACAGGCCAGGCCCAUUCUUUUCGGUCGAGGCCGAUCCACUGCGAGCGCCGUAGGCGCCGCGGCGCUUGCACGGUUGCGAAGUAGGCCGGCCCAGCUAUCUUUUUGUUUAGGGUUAGCUACCUGCUGAAAGCAUUUUUUUUUGUUUGGCGGCCCACGACAGGCCAGGCCCAUUCUUUUCGGUCGAGGCCGAUCCACUGCGAGCGCCGUAGGCGCCGCGGCGCUUGCACGGUUGCGAAGUAGGCCGGCCCAGCUAUCUUUUUGUUUAGGGUUAGCUACCUGCUGAAAAACAACAUGUAAAGAAAAAUUAUAAAGUUCAUUGAGGGAGAACAGGGAAUCGAACUCACGAGAACCACGUGACUGAACACGACAUAACCACUGCACCACCGUCAGCUACUUUUUAGCUUUCGUAAAAUAGCCCUCAUUGACCUUUCCUUCAGUAUAAACAUUAAACAUAUACUAUUAUAUACCCACUAUAAAUUAUGUUUGAAUAAAGAAAAUAUAAACGUGAAAACGCAUUCAUAUAAAACAUGAAUUCAAAAGAAAAGUACACAAAAAUAGAAAAAAAAUUGUGAAUUUGAAAAAAAAUCAUCUAAUUAAAAAAAAGUUCAUCAAAUUUGAAAAAAAGUUCACCAAAAUUGAAAAGAGUUCACCGAAAUUGAAAAUUUUCAUUGAAUUUCAAAAAAAGUUCACCAUAUUUGAAAGAAGUUUAUCAAAUUUGAAAAACAAUUCACCAAAAUUGAAAUAGUUCAUCGGAUUUAAGAAAAGUUCACCAUAUUUGAAAAAAGUUCACCGAAAUUUAAAAAAGUGCAUCGACAUUGAGAAAAGUUUAUCUAAUUUCAUAAAAAGUUCAUCAAAUUUGAUAAAUAGUUCAUGAAUUUAUAAAAACCUCAUAAAUUUAGAAAAAGGUACACGAAAUUUAUAAAACGGUACAUUAAAGAAAAAAAGAAUGAGAAAAGAAAAAAGUAUAAACCAAACUGAAUAAGGAAUAUAAGAAGAGAAACGAACUUUUUGUGCACUAGCGUGGUGAUGGCGAGGUGGUUAGUGCGUAGCGGUUGGAUCAGAGAGGUUGAGCGGUCGAACUCUGCUGUGCGAGCACUUUUUGGCGUUUUCGGAAAAUAGAGAAAAAUACUCAAAUCAUUUUCGAAAAAUAGAGAAAAAUACUCGAAUGGGCCGGCCCAGUGAGGGGCGCUGCAGGUGCCAGUUUGCAAAAUACACGUUAAUGGGCGCCUGCAGCGCCAAAUAGGGUUUGCCGCGUCCGAUGGCUCGUGCUCGCCUGGCCCGUCCGGGCCUAUUUAUCGUAUGCAUCCUCGAAAAGUAUCCCGUUCGCUUUAGAGCCCUCCCAACACAUUUUGUGUCGGGCUACAAAUUUGUUGUUGCAAGGGCAAAGCAUGCGCGUGCUUAAGGACUACUAGAAUCUAGUCAUUGCCCAAAUGCUAAUGAUACUGCUGAUUUUGAUAAAAGAAACACUUUGCUUUUGGUCUGUGCGUGCUACUUUUGGUUUGUUGGUUUUGCAGCUAUAUUUGCUAGCUCAAAUUUGGAUGAACCAGCUUUACAUUUGUAGACCAAAUGAGUUAGUGUUAUAUGUUAUAUAUGCGUUCAUGUUGGUCUUUUUCUCCAACUGAGCCGGCAGAAGUUGCCUGAUUUUUGGAUUUGGCUCAGUUGAUUUAAUUGGGAAGGAAGAAGGAAGCGCAACGGGGCAUGGUGUCCACCUUUGGUGGCACCAGGGCAAGACGUCGGCAAGGCCUCGGCUAGGAACGAGCCAUAGCCGCCGGAGGCGAGUUCAAAGGUUAAUGGUUUGGGCUGCGGGCUCGCAGAGAAAUUCUAGUGGUUUGUCUGUUUAGAGGGAUGGCUAGGGUGGCACCAACACGAUGGUGAGGAGAAAGGGUGGCGGAGGCAGGCGGUUCAACCGAUGGUCAUGGACAGGUUGAGCAAGAAGGUGAAUAGGGGAGGACAGUAGGUGGAAGAAGGCCAUCUGGUCAUUGGCUGCUCAUCGGGCGGUUCAAAAAAAUCAAUCCAUCCAAAUCUUUUUUUAAUCGCCCGCCCUCUAGCAAUCCACUUUUUCCUCAUGGGUAACUGUGUCAAGAUGAUGUUUAGACCCCAAUAAGGGUUGGACUAUAUAUUUGUUUGUUUUGUUCUUCGAGUUGCAUAUAUAGAACAGAAAUAGAAUUUAAGCUAUUCUCGUCUUCACUAGAAUCAUUUAUCCAUCCAGAUCUAUGCUCAUGCAUUGUUGUUAAUGUACUUACAUUCUUCUUUCUGCAUGGGCCAUUGUCUACAACUCUUGGUUCCAUCAUCCCUAGUAUCAAUGAUCAUUGUCGAGACUAUACACACCAUUUUCUCGUUGGUCCUUUCUCAUUUCAUUCAUUAGAGCAGCUGUAGCCCUCCGUGUAGGGUCGGCGGCACGAGGAGGGGUUGUCGGUGUCGUUCCUGAUGUCCGAGUCUUCGGACGGGAUUGAUUGUUCACGUGUUAUGAAACUGGUCCUAAUUUGAUAGGUAUUUAAGAGGGAUAUUUUUUUAGAACAAAGGCUCAAGAAGAGCCCGACUUUGAAUUAACAAAGUCAUCAACUGGCCAGGAUUACAAACUCGAAACCAACACAAGAAAGAUAAGAAAAUGGCAAGAUACAAAGGCGCUGGAAAGCAGCUCACAAGCCUCAUACACACCAAGCUAAAAAGAUCGACGGGGAGAAACACAGCUCAGAGAUGAAGAGGUCCUCCACGCGACCAGAACGCCAUGGAAGAAGAAGAAUGCCCACACUGGAUCAACAUGUCCAAUGACAAAGAAGGGCACGCCGUCGCCUAAUCACCAACAACCCUGACCCUACACAUCCGCCCAGCUCCAAUGUCAAAGAAGGCCCCUGCCUUCUCUCCUGGCUCGAAAGGCGCCGCACGAUUGACAAGAGGAGCAGUUCACCAUAGAACCUGGAAGAUAGUCGCCGGCAGGCUACAUUUGAAAAGAAAACAAACUCACCCAACAAGUCACGAACACAUCACCAAGAGCAGAGCACCGCCGAAUCCCACGGACUGGUCACAAAAAGGAAGAGUUGCCGGAACGGAAAAAGAUGAGCAACAGCUAGAUCUCUCUAGAAGACAUUGAGAACCGAAGUGCAGGCACCGAAAGAGGGGCUAAUGCUCUCAUGUGCACUGAGAAGGGUCGUCGAAUGAGGGGAACCCGAACCCCUCACACCUAGGAGUAUCCACAGGCCAGACAGGGCACCCCGCAGUAGACCGGAGAGGUCCCGAAAUGAAGGAGUCAUUUAGGAAGUCGCGGUCGUCGAGGGAGAUCAGCUACAGCCGCCGCUGCACACGAAACACAUCUUUGAGAAACCCCACGCCCACCAUGCUCCCAAAACCGGCGCCUUCAGGAAGGACGUGACACCAAGGGCACCGCCGCCGCCCAACAGUGUUGGGGAUUUCUCCCGGGAGGCAAGGAGGGGAAGGGGGUAGAGGAACAGACCCGAGCGGCACCUCCAAGGAGGGGAACGGUGUUGGGGAACGUUGCGUGGGAAACAAAAAAAUUCCUACGCUCACCAAGAUCAACCUAGGAGAUGAACAUCUACGAGAGAAGAGAUUGCAUCUACAUACCCUUGUAGAUUGCUAAGCGGAAGCGUUAAGAAACGCGGUUGAUGUAGUCGAACGUCUGAUGUCUACUACACAACCUUCUUCUUGUAGACGUUGUUGGGCCUCCAAGUGCAGAGGUUUGUAGGACAGUAGCAAAUUUCCCUCAAGUGGAUGACCUAAGGUUUAUCAAUCUGUGGGAGGCGUAGGAUGAAGAUGGUCUCUCUCAAACAACCCUGGAACCAAAUAACAAAGAGUCUCUUGUGUCCCCAACACACCCAAUACAAUGGUAAAUUGUAUAGGUGCACUAGUUCGGCGAAGAGAUGGUGAUACAAGUGCAAUAUGGAUGGUAGAUAUGAGUAUUUGUAAUCUGAAAAUAUAAAGACAGCAAGGUAACAAGUGGCAAAAGUGAGCAUAAACGGUAUUGCAAUGCUAGGACACAAGGCCUAGGCUUCAUACUUUCACUAGUGCAAGUUCUCUCAACAAUAAUAACAUAACUGGAUCAUAUAACUAUCCGUCAACAUGCAACAAAGAGUCACUCCAAAGUUACUAAUAGCGGAGAGCAAACGAAGAGAUUAUUGUAGGGUACGAAACCACCUCAAAGUUAUCCUUUCUGAUCGAUCUAUUCAAGAGUCCGUAGUAAAAUAACACGAAGCUAUUCUUUUUGUUUGAUCUAUCAUAGAGUUCGUACUAGAAUAACACCUUUAGACACAAAUCAACCAAAACCCUAAUGUCACCUAGAUACUCCAAUGUCACCUCAAGUAUCCGUGGGCAUGAUUAUACGAUAUGCAUCACACAAUCUCAGAUUCAUCUAUUCAACCAACACAAAGUACUUCAAAGAGUGCCCCAAAGUUUCUACCAGAGAGUCAAGACGAAAACGUGUGCCAACCCCUAUGCAUAAGUUCAUUGAACCCGCAAGUUGAUCACCAAAACAUACAUCAAGUAGAUCACAUGAAUAUCCCAUUGUCACCACAGAUAAGCACGUCAAGACAUACAUCAAGUGUUCUCAAAUCCUUAAAGACUCAAUCCGACAAGACAACUUUGAUAACCCACAAGUAUAGGGGAUCGCAACGGUUUUCGAGGGUAGAGUAUUCAACCCAAAUUUAUUGAUUCGACACAAGGGGAGCCAAAGAAUAUUCUAAAGUAUUAGCAGUUGAGUUGUCAAUUCUACCACACCUGGAUAACUUAAUAUCUUCAGCAAAGUAGUAUGGAAGUAACAGUAACAGUAGCAAAAGUAACAAUAGCAGUUUUAUAGUAAUUGUAACAGUAGCAGCGGUAAAGUAAAUAAGCAAAGCACAAUAUGUGAAAAGCUCGUAGGCGUUGGAUCAGUGAUGGAUAAUUAUGUCGGAUGUGAUUCCUCAUGUAAUAGUUAUAACAUAGGGUGACACAGAACUAGCUCCAGUUCAUCAAUGUAAUGUAGGCAUGUAUUUCGAAUAUAGUCAUGUGUGCUUAUGGAAAAUAACUUGCAUGACAUCUUUUGUCCUACCCUCCCAUGGCAGCGGAGUCCUAAUGGAAACUAAGGGAUAUUAAGGCCUCCUUUUAAUAGAGUACCGGACGAAAGCAUUAGCACAUAGUGAAUACAUGAACUCCUCAAACUAUGGUCAUCACCGAGAAGUAUCCCGAUUAUUGUCACUUCAGGGUUGUCGGAUCAUAACACAUAAUAGGUGACUAUAGACUUGCAAGAUAGGAUCAAGAACUCACAUAUAUUCAUGAAAACAUAAUAGGUUCAGAUCUGAAAAAUCAUGGCACUCGGGCCCUAGUGACAAGCAUUAAGCAUAGCAAAGUCGUAGCAACAUCAAUCUCAGAACAUAGUGGAUACUAGGGAUCAAACCCUAACAAAACUAACUUGAUUACAUGGUAAAUCUCAUCCAACCCAUGACCGUCCAGCAAGCCUACGAUGGAAUUACUCAUGCACGGCGGUGAGCAUCGUGAAAUUGGUGAUGGAGGAUGGUUGAUGAUGACGACGGCGAUGAAUCCCCCUCUCCGGAGCCCCAAACGGACUCCAGAUCAGCCCUCCCGAGAGAGAUUAGGGCUUGGCGGCGGCUCCAUAUCGUAAAACGCGAUGAAACUUCCUCUCUGAUUCUUUUUCUCCGCGAAAGCAAACAUAUGGAGUUGGAGUUGAGGUCGGUGUACAUCCAGGGGGCCCACGAGGCAGGGGGCGCGCCCUCGGGGAGGGGGCGCGCCCGCACCCUCGUGGACAGGGUGUGGCCCCCCUGACGUUGAUUCUUCCGCUAGUAUUUUUUAUUAAUUCUGAAAAGUUGCUCCGUGGAUUUUCAGGUCAUUUCGAGAGCUUUUAUUUCUGCACAAAAAUAACACCACGGCAGUUCUGCUGGAAACAGCAUUAGUCCUGGUUAGUUCCAUUCAAAUCAUGCAAGUUAGAGUCCAAAACAAGGGCAAAAGUGUUUGGAAAAGUAGAUACGACGGAGACGUAUCAAACUUCAAGGGGAAAACUCAAUUCAUCACAAGAGAGUAGAGGGGAAGAAACAUCAUAAGAUCCAACUAUAAUAGCAAAGCUCGCGGUACGUCAAGAUCGUAUCACCUCAAGAACACGAGAGAGAGAGAUCAAACACAUAGCUACUCGUACAUACCCUCAACCCCGAGGGUGAACUACUCCCUCCUUGUCAUGGAGAGCGCCGGGAUGAUGAAGAUGGCCACCGGUGAGGGAUCCCCCCUCCGGCAGGGUGCCGGAACAGGGUAUCGAUUGGUUUUUGGUGGCUACAGAGGCUUGCGGUGGCGGAACUUCCAAUCUAUUAUGCUCCUCGAUGUUUUUAGGGUAUAUGGACAUAUAUAGGUGAAAGAAGUCGAUCAAGGGAGCCACGAGGGGCCCACGACGGUGGGGGCGCGCCCAGGGGUAGGGCGCGGCCCUGACCCUCGUGGCCACCUCGAAGCUUCCCUGACGUAUACUCCAAGUCUCCUGGAUUGCUUCCGUUCCAAAAAUGACUCUCCCGAAGGUUUCAUUCCGUUUGGACUCCGUUUAAUAUUCCUUUUCUUCGAAACACUGAAAUAGUCAAGAAAACAUCAAUUUGGGCUAGGCCUCCGGUUAGUAGGUUAGUCCCAAAAAUGAUAUAAAAGUGUAGAGUAAAGCCCAUAAACAUCCAAAACGGGUAAUCUAAUAGCAUGGAACAAUCAAAAAUUAUAGAUACGUUGGAGACGUAUCAAGCAUCCCCAAGCUUAAUUCCUACUCGUCCUCGAGUAGGUAAAUGAUAAAACAGAAUUUUAGAUGUGGAAUUCUACCUAGAAUAUUUCCCAAUGUAAUUUUUUUUAUUGUGGCAUGAAUGUUAAGAUCCAAAUGAUUCAAAAUAAAAGUUCAUAUUGACAUAACAAAUAGUAAUACUUCAAGCAUACUAACAAGUAAUCAUGUCUUCUCAAAAUAACAUGGCCAAAGAAAGUUUAUCCCUACAAAAUCAUAUAGUUAGGCUAUGCUUCAUUUUCGUCACACAAAAUACUCCCAUCAUGCACAACCCGGGUUUCAUCCAAGAAAUUGGUUCAUACUUUUUAACGCACUUCAGCCUUUUUCAACUCUCACGCAAUACAUGAGCGUAAGCCAUGGAUAUAGCACUAUGGGUGGAAUAGAAUAUGAUGAUGGAGGUUGUGUGGAGAAGACAAAAAAGGAGAAAGUCUCACAUUGACGAGGCUAAUCAACGGGCUAUGGAGAUGUCCAUCAAUUGAUGUCAAUAUGAGGAGUAGGGAUUGCCAUGCAACAGAUGCACUAGAGCUAUAAAUGUAUGAAAGCUCAAACAAAGAAACUAAGUGGGUGUGCAUCCAACUUGCUUGCUCAUGAAGACCUAGGGCAUUUUGAGGAAGCCCAUCGUUGGAAUAUACAAGCCAAGUUCUAUAAUGAAAAAUUCCCACUAGUAUAUGGAAGUGACAACAUAGGAGACUCUCUAUAUGAAGAACAUGGUGCUACUUUGAAGCACAAGUGUGGAAAAAGAUAGUAACAUUGCCCCCCCCCCCUUUUGGGCCUUUCCUUUUUUUGGCCUUUUUUUCUUUUUUUAUUGGCCUUUUUUUAUUUGGUCUUUCUUUUUUUAUAAGGGGCAAUGCUCUAAUAAUGAUGAUCAUCACACUUCUAUUUACUUACAACUCAUGAAUUACAACUCGAUACUAGAACAAAAUAUGACUCUAUAUGAGUGCCUCCGGCAGUGUACCGGGAUAUGCAAUGAAUCAAGAGUGACAUGUAUGAAAAUUAUGAAGGUGGCUUUGCUACAAAUAAGAUGUCAACUACAUGAUCAUACCAAAGCAAUAUGACAAUGAUGAUGUGUGUCAUGAUAAACAGAACGGUGGAAAGUUGCAUGGCAAUAUAUCUCGGAAUGGCUAUGGAAAUGCCAUAAUAGGUAGGUAUGGUGGCCAUUUUGAGGAAGAUAUAAGGAGGUUUAUGUGUGAUAGAGCAUAUCGUAUCACGGGGUUUGGAUGCACUGGCGAAGUUUGCACCAACUCUCAAGGUGAGAAAGGGCAAUGCACGGUACCAAAGAGGCUAGCAAUGAUGGAAGGGUAAGAGUGCGUAUAAUCCAUUGACUCACAUUACUCAUAAAGAACUCAUAUACUUAUUGCAAAAGUUUUAUUAGCCCUCGAAGCAAAGUACUACUACGCAUGAUCCUAGGGGGGAGGUUGGUAGGAGUUAACCAUCGCGCGCCUCGACCUCCACACAUAAGGACGGCAAUCAAAAGAGCACCCCAUGCAACAAAUUUGUUACACAACUUUUACCAUACGUGCAUGCUACGGGACGUGCCAACUUCAACACAAGUAUUUCUCAAUCUCAUAAUUACCCAACUAGCAUGACUCUAAUAUUACCAUCUUUAUAUCUCAAAACAAUUAUCAAGCAUCAAAUUGAUCAUAGCAUCCAAUUCACUUUCUCUGAUAGUUUUUAUUAUACCCAACUUGGAUGCCCAUCAUUCUAGGACCAAUUUUAUAACCAUAGCAAAUACCAUGUUGUUCUAAAAGACUCUCAAAAUAAUAUAAGUGAAGCAUGAGAGAUUAACAAUUUCUACAAAAUAAAACUGUCGCCGUGCUCUAAAAAUAUAUAAGUGAAGCACUAGAGCAAUAUUGUCUAGCUCAAAAGAUAUAAGUGAAGCACAUAGAGUAUUCUAAUAAACUCCGAAUCAUGUGUGUCUCUCCCAAAAUGUGUGUACAUCAAGGAUUAUUGUGGUAACUAAAAAGCAAAGACUCAUAUCAUACAAGACGCUCCAAGCAAAACACAUAUCAUGUGGUGAAUAAAAAUAUAGCUCCAAGUAAAGUUACCGAUAGACGAAGACGAAAGAGGGGAUGCCAUCUGGGGCAUCCCCAAGCUUAGGCUCUUGGUUGUACUUGAAUAUUACCUUGGGGUGCCUUGGGAAUCCCCAAGCUUAGGCUCUUUCCACUCCUUAUUCCAUAGUCCAUCGAAUCUUUACCCAAAACUUGAAAACUUCACAACACAAAACUCAGCAGAAAACUCGUAAGCUCCGUUAGUAUAAGAAAAUAAUUCACCACUUAGGUAUUGUUGUGAACUCAUUAUAAAUUCAUAUGGGUGUAAUAUCUACUUUAUUACAACUUCUCUAUGGUUCAUACCCUCUGAUACUACUCAUAGAUUCAUCAAAAUAAACAAACAACACAUAGAAAACAGAAUCUGUAAAAAAAUUGAACAGUCUGUAGUAAUCUGUAUCAUUCGAAUACUUCUGUAACUCCAAAAAUUCUACCAAAUUAUGAAAACCUGAGUCAUUUGUGUACCAAUCCAUAUCAAAAAGAAUUAGAUCAAAAUCACGUUUCUGUGAAUUAUCAAAACUAAUUUACUGGUUGCGAAAGUUUCUGAUUUUCAGCAGGAUCAAUACAACUAUCACCCUAAGCUAUCCUAAAGGUCUUACUUGGCACUUUAUUGAAACAAAAGCGAUAAAACAUUAUUACUACAGUAGUAUAAUCAUGUGGACACACAAAAACAGUAAAGGUAAAUAUUGGGUUGUCUCCCAACAAGCGAUUUUCUUUAAUGCCUUUUAGCUACGCAUGAUGGUUUCAAUGAUGCUCGCAUAAAAGAGAGCAUAAUGAAGCAUAUUACUAACACAUUUAAGUCUAACACACUUCCUAUGCAUAGGGAUUUUGUGAGCAAACAACUUAUGGGAACAAUAAUCAACUAGCAUAGGAAGGCAAAACAAGCAUAACUUCAAGAUUUUAAGCACAUAGAGAUGAGACUUGAUAUUAUUGCAAUUCCUACAAGCAUAUGUUCCUCCCUCAUAAUAAUUAUCAGUAGCAUCAUGAAUGAAUUCAACAAUAUAACCAGCACCUAAAGCAUUCUUUUCAUGAUCUACUUGCAUAGAAAUUUUACUACUCUCCACAUAAGCAAAAUCUUCUUAUUCGGAAUAGUGGGAGUAUCAUAAGAGACUCGAAUACUAUAAAUUGUUUCCACAUUAAAAGAGUAGUGUUCAGAAAAAGGGUAAUCAUAAUCAUGACAAGUUUUAUAAAUAUAAUCAUCACUACUUUUUAUAGCAUAAGUUUCAUCACAAUAAUCAUCAUAAGUAGCAACUUUGUUCUCAUCAUAAUCAAUUGAAACCUCUUCCAAAAUAGUGGAUUCACCACUAAAUAACGUCAUGACCUCUCCAAAUCCACUUUCAUAAAUAUCAAAAUAAGAUUCAGCAUUCUCCAAAAUAGUGGGAUCAUUACUUCCUAAAGUUGACACUCUUCCAAACCCACUUUCAACAAUAUAAUCAUCAUAAGUAGGAGGCAUGAUAUCAUCAUAACAACUUUUCAUAUCAAAACUUGGGAGGCUAAAAAUAUCACCUUCAUUAAACUUAGCAUCCCCAAGCUUGGGACAAACAUUAAUUGUAGCAAAUAUAUUUUCAAACAUGUCAUUCUCAUCAAACAUAGCAUCCCCAAGCUUGGGCCUUUUCAUAUCAUAAGCAUAAUCACACUCAUCAUUAAUAAUAUGGAUAGCACCAAUAGUAUAGCAAUUAUCAUCAUCACAAUGAGUAAUAGGAGCAACAUCAUUUGGGAGGGAUAGCUUUCUACCUUUGCUUCUUCGUCUCUUCUUUUUCUUCUUCACAUCAUGUGUGGGUUUAACCCUCUUUUUGGAGCUCCUUAUUAAUGAGAUUGGUUGAAUAGAAAGCUCUUCCUCGUUACUUGAUUCAUCAUAAGAAAUAAUAGGAGGAUAUUGGGAAGUCUCUUCCCUUUCAUUAGUAUUCUCUUCAUCUUCUAUUUGCUUUCUUGUAGAUUGCUGAAUAUGAUAUGUUUGAUUCCAUGCAAUAGUUUUGCGAUAUGAAGAUGGUGAUAUUAGAGUCAUGCUAGUGGGUAGUUGUGGAUUGUAGAAAUACUUGUGUUGAAGUUCAUGAUUCCCGUAGCAUGCACGUAUGGUGAACCGUUAUGUAACGAAGUUGGAGCAUGAGGUAUUUAUUGAUUGUCUUCCUUAUGAGUGGUGGUCGGGGACGAGCGAUGGUCUUUUCCUACCAAUCUAUCCCCCCAGGAGCAUGCGCGUAGUACUUUGUUUCGAUGACUAAUAGAUUUUUGCUAUAAGUAUGUGAGUUCUUUAUGACUUAUGUUGAGUCCAUGGAUUAUAUGCACUCUCACCCUUCCAUCAUUGUUAGCCUCUUCGGUACCGUGCAUUGCCCUUUCUCACCUCGAGAGUUGGUGCAAACUUCGCCGGUGCAUCCAAACCCCGUGAUACGAUACACUCUAUCACACAUAAGCCUCCUUAUAUCUUCCUCAAAACAACCACCAUACCUACCUAUCAUGGCAUUUCCAUAGCUAUUCCGAGAUAUAUUGCCAUGCAGCUUCCAUCAUGAUCAUAUACAUGACUUGAGCAUUCAUUGUCAUAUUACUUUGCAUGAUCGUAAGAUAGCUAUCAUGAUAUUUUCAUGGCUUGCCCGUUUUUUGAUGUCAUUGCUAUGCUAGAUCAUUACACAUCCCGGUACACCGCCGAAGGCAUUCUUAUAGAGUCAUAUCUUUGUUCUAGAUAUCGAGUUGUAAUAUUGAGUAGUAAGUAAAUAUAAGUGUGAUGAUCAUCAUUAUUAGAGCAUUACCCCAUGAAAAAAAGAGAGGCCGAAGAAGCCUAAAUAAAAAGAGGGGGGGCAAAGAAGCCCGCCAAAAAAAGAGAAAAAAAGGGGGCAAUGUUACUAUCCUUUUACCACACUUGUGCUUCAGAGUAGCACCAUGUUCUUCAUAUAGAGAGUCUCCUAUAUUGUCACUUUCAUAUACUAGUGGGAAUUUUCAUUAUAGAACUUGGCUUGUAUAUUCCGAUGAUGAGCUUCCUCAAAUGCUUGAGGUCUUCAUGAGCAAGCAAGUUGGAUGCACACCCACUUAGUUUCCAGUUUGAGCUUUCAUACACGUAUAGCUCUUAGUGCAUCCGUUGCAUGGCAAUCCCUACUCCUCGCAUUGACAUCAAUUGAUGGGCAUCUCCAUAGCCCGUUGAUUAGCCGCGUCUAUGUGAGACUUUCUCCCUUUUUGUCUUCUCCACACAACCUCCACCAUCAUAUUCUAUUCCACCUAUAGUGCUAUGUCCAUGGUUCACGCUCAUGUAUUGCGUGAAAGUUGAAAAGGUUUGAGAAUGUCAAAAGUAUGAAACAAUUGCUUGGCUUGUCAUCGGGGUUGUGCAUGAUUUGAAUAUUUUGUGUGGUGAAGAUGGAGCAUAGCCAGACUAUAUGAUUUUGUAGGGAUAACUUUCUUUGGCCAUGUUAUUUUGAAAAGACAUGAUUGCUUUAUUAGUACGCUUGAAGUAUUAUCAUUUUUUUGUCAAAUGAUAGACUAUUGCUUUGAAUCACUCGUGUCUUAAUAUUCAUGUCAUGAUUAGAUAUAUGAUUAAGAUUAUUCUAGGUAGCAUUCCACAUCAAAAAUUAUCUUUUUAUCAUUUACCUAUUCGAGGAUGAGCAGGAAUUAAGCUUGGGGAUGCUGAUACGUCUCCGUCGUAUCUAUAAUUUUUGAUUGCUCCAUGCCAAUAUUAUUCAACUUUCAUAUACUUUUGGCAACUUUUUAUACUAUUUUUGGGACUAACAUAGUGAUCUAGUGCCCAGUGCAAGUUCCUGUUUGUUGCAUGUUUUAUGUUUCACAGAAAACUAAUAUCAAACGGAGUCCAAACGGGAUAAAAACGUACGGAGAAUAUUUUUAGAAUAUUUGUGAUAUUUGGGAAGAAAAAUCAACGCGAGACGGUACCAGAGGGGGCCACGAGGCAGGGGGCGCGACCUAGGGGGGCGGGCGUACCCCACACCCUCGUGGGCACCCCGUAAGGCGGCUGCUGCUCUUCUUGGGCCGCAAGAAAGCUAAUUUUUAGAAGAAGAAAAAUCUUGGUGAAGGCUUCAGUACAAUCGAAGUUACGAAUCUCCGGAUAUAUAAGAAACGGUGAAAGGGCAGAAUCAAGAACGCAAAAACAGAGAGAGACAGAGAGACAGAUCCAAUCUCGGAGGAGCUCUCGCCCCUCCCAUGCCAUGGAAGCCAAGGACCAGAUGGGAAACCCUUCUCCCAUCUAGGGAGAAGGUCAAGGAAGAAGAAGAAGAAGAAGAAGAAGGGGGGGCUCUCUCCCCCUCGCUUCCGGUGGCGCCGGAACACCGUCGGGGCCAUCAUCAUCACCGUGAUCUACACCGACAACUUCACCGCCUUCAUCACCAACUCUUCCCUCCUCUAUGCAGCGGUGUAAACCCUCUUUUACCCGAUGUAAUCUCUACUUAAACAUGGUGCUCAACGCUAUAUAUUAUUUCCCAAUGAUGUAUGGCUAUCUUAUGAUGUUUGAGUAGAUCCGUUUUGUCCUAUGGGUUAAUUGAUGAUCGUGAUUGGUUUGAAUUGCAUGUUUUAUUGUUGGCGCUAUCCUAUUGUGCCCUGCAUGUCGCGCAAGCGUGAGGAAUUCCCGCAGUAGGGUGUGGCAAUAUGUUCAUGAUUCGCUUAUAGUGGGUUGCUUGAGUGACAGAAGCAUAACCCGAAUAAGGGGGUUCUGGCGUAUGGGAUAAAGGGGACUUGAUGCUUUAAUGCUAUGGUUGGGUUUUACCUUAAUGAUCUUUAGUAGUUGCGGAUGCUUGCUAGAGUUCCAAUCAUAAGUGCAUAUGAUCCAAGAAGAGAAAAUAUGUUAGCUUAUGCCUCUCCCUCAAAAAAAUUGCAAUAGUCAUUACCGGUUUAGUUAUCGAUUGCCUAGGGAUAAAUAACUUUCUCGUGACAAAAAGCUCUCUAUUAAAACUAACUUAGUUGUGUCUUCAUCUAAACAGCCCCUACUUUUUAUUUAUGUGCUCUUUAUUAUCUUGCAAACCUAUCCUAUCAUACCUGCAAAUUCCUUAUAGUUCCUUACUUGUUCUAGGUAAAGCGAACGUCAAGCGUGCGUAGAGUUGUAUCGGUGGUCGAUAGAACUUGAUGGAAUAUUUGUUCUACCUUUAGCUCCUCAUUUGGUUCGACACUCUUAUUUAUCAAAAGAGGCUACAAUUUAUCCCCUAUACUUGUGGGUUAUCACGCCACCAGACCUUUUUGCCCUCCAUGCAGUCACGUUCUAGGGCACCAUGUCCUCCAAGCCCUCCUCGUCCGCGCUUUAGGGCACGACGGAGCGGAUGUGCGCCCUCNNNNNNNNNNNNNNNNNNNNNNNNNNNNNNNNNNNNNNNNNNNNNNNNNNNNNNNNNNNNNNNNNNNNNNNNNNNNNNNNNNNNNNNNNNNNNNNNNNNNNNNNNNNNNNNNNNNNNNNNNNNNNNNNNNNNNNNNNNNNNNNNNNNNNNNNNNNNNNNNNNNNNNNNNNNNNNNNNNNNNNNNNNNNNNNNNNNNNNNNNNNNNNNNNNNNNNNNNNNNNNNNNNNNNNNNNNNNNNNNNNNNNNNNNNNNNNNNNNNNNNNNNNNNNNNNNNNNNNNNNNNNNNNNNNNNNNNNNNNNNNNNNNNNNNNNNNNNNNNNNNNNNNNNNNNNNNNNNNNGAUGGCCUGGAGGUGCAGAUCGCGCUUUCGUCCGUUGGGGAUAUCAUCAUCCCCGAGCUGGAGGAGGCAGACGACUCGGAACCCUGGUGGAACCCGACAGUGGUGGGCCAGUCCUGGUCGUGAACUUCGACCCUGUCGUGCACGUCGGAGUUGGCGUCUGCGCCACACUUGUUGGUUGGCACCGACACAUGAUCACCGCUCCAUGUGCCACCGCCGCCCCUUGUUGUGCAACCGCCGCAGUCGCCACCAGCUCACCUAUGGCAGCCGCCUCCCUUCGUCAACCUCAGCGUAGACGAGGAAUAGGGCAACCAAGACGGUGGUGACGCCAUGCAGUGAAGACGGCGACGACGUCUUGUUCUUUUUUAUAAUAAUUUUGAGUUUAAGUUGAUGCAUGAUGAAUAGUUCGGCCAUGACUUUUGGACGUUAAUGUAAUAUAUAAUUAUCGUUUAGAUUAUUUUUAUCUCCUUUUUUGUUUGAAUUGUAGUUUAAAUCUGAAUGCUUUCACCAAAUGUGACGGCCAGUCGGGUGCGACAACCGGCGGACGACCGCAAAUGGACGCUUGUGGCCACUUUGCCGACCUAAACGGACAGAAUCCGGAUAAAACAAACGUCUGUUUGGGGUCGUCCAACAACUGUUGGAGUAGGCCUUAAAACACACAGCCAUAGAGCAGGUCUUAGAGCAUCUCCAGCCGCGCCCCAACUUGCCCCCCAAGGCCCUUUUUUGUCGCCGGCGGAGAAAAUUCGGCCCAGUCGCACCCACAUAAGCCCAAUUUUCACUGGUUAGGGCCGAUUUUGGCGUCGGUGGACCCAGGCCGAACCCGGCGCACUGGGGGGCGUCCGGGGGCAACGGGGGAAACAUUUUUUUGCGUGAAAAGGAGUGGGUCCUCCAAGUCAGUGAAUCGCCGGCUUCGUCGUCCUCAUCGCUUCGGUUCCCACGGGAAUCAAUGCCAAGGCCGCCACGCCGGUCAGCCUUCCAUUGAUGCCUCACGGGCGGCGCAGUGAAGGCAUGGCGACACGCGUCCCCUCCCGCCACGCGGCACACGGUGGCAGCUCUCCCACCGCCCAUCUGCAGCUAUAAGCCUUCUUCCCUCGCUGGUGAACGCACAAACUCUCGCCACCGACGCCCUUCUCUCUACCUCUCGCCGCCGAUGCCUCUCUCACCCACUCUCUCCCGCGCCAACGUCAAUGGUCGAGCACUUUCCAGGCGACGACGCAGCGGCGAACGGCUUCGGUCGCCGCCAUCUGCAUGAGGUUGAGGCGUGCCUCCUCUACGAGGCCAACUACCCGGUGCCCCCGAACAUGUGGGUGCCGGGCGCCUGGAGGCUCAGUGUUGGCGGCGUCCCGGUGCCGCCUGCGCCAACCGGAGCGGCCCGGCGAGCCAAAAUCCGGUCAUCGCUGCCGGAGCCACAGCGGAAUCAGCCGAGGUACGACCCCGACAGCAACACGAUGUGGACGGCGUACUUCGAGCGGCGCCACGAGGAGCAGAUUGCCGCCACCAACGGCGUCGAGCCCCGCAGCCGCCACAACUCCGAGGGGAGGCGCCGAUGGUGGAGCGUCCCAGGCCGAACCCUCGAGGCUGUCCUUGAGCACAUUGAGGCCUGGGGUACCCGGCGCCCCCUCCUUCUCUCGCCGCCGCGGCAGCUCCUGGAUGCCACGGCGAAUGGAGACGGCGACAUCAUCAUCGUCGGGCUCUGGCUCUCUGUCCUCCAGCUCGCCGGCACUUCGGCCCGUCAAGCCGGAGCUGCAGGAGACGCCACUAGGGCGUCGCGCACGCGACGCCCUUGUCAUCAACGAGGGCGGCCGCCCCUCUCCUUCCUACCGCCUCGUCCGGCCGAAGACCGAGCCAGGUUUGCUCCCCGUGAAGAAGGAGCACGAGGCCAUGCUCGCCGCCUACGAGACCGCCUACAUCUGCAAGUAGGGAUUAAGGCAUAGGUGGAUUCUUUCUGCUUAGUCUCGAAGAAGAAAAGCAAUCCAGAUUGAGAAUUUCCCUCUUUAGAUCUCCAACAUUGCAGAUAAUAAUAGAGGGUGUCGGUCACCGAUUCUCAAUAUGCUCUGAAAUUCAUAUGUGCUCUGCUUUUAUUUUUCUGUCAGCAUGGACACUUACCAGAUACAGUAUUUGUUUGAGAAAUACUAGGCGAUUUUGGUGUGUAAUCUGUAUGAACAAAGAUCUACAAGAAACUUCAACAAGCCGUCUAUCUAGCGCGUAUUAUAUACAUAUAUAACUUCCCCAUAUAAUUUAUAUCCAGUUUUUUCAUCAUUGUUGAUCUUAUUCUGAACUUCUCAGGAGCGACAACUCAAUGCGAUUAGUACCUUUGUUCAGUUCAGUGUAUGAUGGGAACAUAGUGUGGCGUUGAUGUCCUAACGACACGCAUCACUCAUGUUUUUUAGAAUCUUGGUAGUUCAUCUUGGUAACUCCUGUUCCUUUUUAUACAGUUAUACCUUGUUUCGCAUGCCUAACCUUUUUCUUGAAUUUGCUGCGUCGAACAGGGAGAGCGCCAUCGUGCAAAUAAUGGCCAACAGGACAUGUUCUUCUUCUGUCUCCUCACUCUUUGCUUCAUCUCGGCCACAAGGAUGGGCAGAGCUCCCGGACGACCUGCUCCGACCCGUUGUCGCUCUACUACGUUCGUUCCGUGACCUCCUCGCCUUCGGUACCACUUGUCGUCAUUGGUGUGAUCUCCUCUCAGCACACAGGUCCUCUGUCCAGCCUCUGCUCCUCCACCCCAAUCUCCGUACCGACGGUGGACAGGCUCUCUCGCAUAACUGUUGGACCUUAUUCCACAAAUGCACAUGGAGAUUGGGUGACCCUGCUGCCACCUCAUCCUCUCGCAGUUUUCUCUCCUCGAGUGACCUCAGAAGCAUGACCUUUCUGCGCUACUCCUAUGGUCAGCUCAUCUUCUAUGACAACAAUGGGUUCCAUAUUGUUAAUCCAUUCAGUGGCGCUAAGCUUGGCCCUCCUUCCCUACAGUCAAUUCACUUCACUUGCAUCAGCUAUGUCACCUUAACUGCCCCUGUUGCAUCCGCUGAUUCGCAUCUCCUUGUCGGUGCUGGAGCCUAUCUGUUCCUGUGGCGCAUCGGGAGCGACUCUUGGACAAAACACAGCCCUAAAGUUGGUCGUUUUUCGAUUGAACAAAAUGUGACCUUCAAGGGCAAGACAUAUGCCCUAGGGUCUUUCGGGUGGUUCUACAUCAUUCACUUGUCACCCAGUCUCAUUGUUGAGAAGUUUAAAGUUGUGUUCGAGGAAGAUAAAACCGAAGAUCUCUAUUCGGCAAAUGAAAAAGCAUGGCUAGUGGUGUGUGGUGACACGCUUCUCUUGAUCAAACUUGUGGAGGCGGGAAGACGGAUGCGCUCGGAGGCCUUCCAGUUCAUGCCCUUCAAGCUUGAGUCAUUGGACACCAUGACCAAGAAGGCAAGGUGGGUGAAAGUGAACAAGUUAGAUAACUGGGCCAUCUUUAUCAGCGUUGACGAGCGGUGCGAGGCGUUGCCGUGCAUGAACCCGGAGGGAUCGGGAGGAAGGAGCAACCACAUAUACUUCCCAAGUUAUCAGUCUGAAAAACCUUGGGCUGCAGUCCAACUAUGGAAAAAAUGUUAUUACCAUUCGACACAGCUCUUCAACACUGGAAGACGUUACCUGAAAUUGGAGUCAACCUGGGUCUUCCCCGCGCGUUUCCUUGUUACGUCCUGCGAUGAUCUUACGGCCGUGAGUGCGGUUGAUGAUUAGCUUCUGAUACAGCUUUGGUGGGAGGAUUCUACUAUGUUGCAGUAGCAAGAUUAGUUCACUGAAUGUUCUUGACGUGUUUCAAAACUUGCAUUACAAACAGAAGUGUAGAUUAAGUUAUUAGAUUGUGUACUUUCCUCUUUUUUUCUGCGGCAAUUACAAGGGACCCAUAUGUUUUAUUUCUCAUUUAUUACAGAUUGUGGAGUUUUCUUGUACCUGGGAACUUGAUAACAUGGGCUAGGCCUGUAACUUCCCUUUCAUACAUAGAUAAGACAUCAGGUUAAUAUAGACUGCAAGUUCAGCCAACAAACAUAUAAGCAGCAUAUAUGCAUUCAUCAUAAAGUUUAUAGUUUGCACCAACAAAAAUUAGGCAGACCGAGUGUUCGACAACCAAACAGAUCUGCAUUUGAACAUAGCUUCAGCAAACAGCUUUGUGUGCAUUUGAUUGUCUCUGUUUAAAAGGAGAUCAAGCUACAAAUAGAUGUAUGGACCAAACAAAGCACAUAACUAAAAUAAAAGCCCAGGCACAUCUGACAUGGUGCACACAAAAAAUGCUGAAGAGUGAUAUGAAGACUCAAGAAGCUAGUAUUGUUUCAAGAUGCAAACCCUUAUCUCUUGUAUGCAAAACGGGAGUAAUUAACAAGGUUCAGCUAAAACAGCAACAUGUAGCACAAGUUUUGCCUCCAGGAAUGUACACUGGGUGGCAAACAGAGAUUAUUACAAAUCUUUUUUGAAAGGAAUUAUUACAAAUCUUGAUGUACUCCGUCAAAGGAGCGGAAACUAGAAGGAACAUAGCGACAAAAAAGUCCCCAAGUGCAGCCAACGACAACAAGACAACUGCACGGUACAACGACACGUUCUCAUAUCCAAGCUGCAAAGGAUGUAGGAUUGCGAGCAAGAUGAGCAUUGAUCGUUGCAAAACAAGGUUCUGGCUCCAACUCCUCAUGUUGGUUGCCGUCUACUGGGUAUGAAAAUACUCGAGCGUUUUCAUCCAACUGAUAGACAAGGCCACCCCUUAAACCCAUUCUCUCUGGGUUCACUAAGAGUCGUGGCUGUCCAGUACGUUUUUCGCCCAAGAAGAACGCCCACUUCUUCAAGCCUCCCUCUUCCACGAUCACAUACUUUGCAGGUUCAGUUGAGAAGUCAAUGGAGAAGACUUCCCCGUUACGACCAAGUAGGAGAAGUGUGUCUUCACAAGCCACCAAAUUUCCGGAAAGCACGUACGGGUCCAUAUAAUCUCUGCAAUCAAGUCUUAGUAGCUCAACAUGAAUCUGAGGUGUCAAAUGCACGGUGUAUAGUUUUUGACGCAUCCUCAUAAUGACCCGGCCUUUGAAGAACACCAUCUCCUUGAUCAAAUGUGCAUUUAGAAAAUCGCAGUGCAACCAAGAGGGGCUCCCAACUCGCCAAGCAUACAGGCAGUGCGGGCUGCUGACAAAUAGAUAUGAAUCUGGUGACGCCUCUGGAGAUAUGAAGGUUCUGUAGCAUAGUUGACUCAAUGGAAAAGGUGGAGCUGCAACCGUAGUGCCAGUGAGCACGUCCAUAAUGACAAGGGAUCUCUCGUAGCAGAAAAUAGCAUGACCAUAAGAACAUUUGACGACUGCCAUUUUGUCCAAAAUACUUGGAGGGGUCAAGCGACACAACGGAGUACUUGGAUAUACAGGAUCAAUGAGCUCCCAUGUGUUUCCAAUGUUAGAGCCAGCUGAGCUUGUCUGAUCGGCACAGUUCCGGAAAAUAACAGGUGGGAAGAGCUCGCCUAAGGUAGAUUUGAUUGACAUGAAUGCGGCAUACCAGCUAGGGCAGGUGGCGAUGAAUGCAAGAAGGUCACGAGUUGAACCCAACAUGACAAUGAUGGAGUGCAAUAAUCCAUGUGGUAGGUCCGCCCAGCCUUCGGGUCCAAACAUGACACGAUGCACGGAGAUGGGGGUGACGGAGCUCCGGUUGAUGUUUUGCAUGAUAUCAGCUUCAAAUUCUGCAUUAAGGAUCAUGAAAGGACAACAAUUUUAGCAAUGGACCUGAGUUAACUAUAUAAUAUAUAUUGCUAUCACUAUUUUAAUUAAAUUGGUACUGCUACAGCUAUGAUAAUUAUAUACAAACACAAUAAAAAUGUUUGUAGAAACUAUAAAUAUAAUACACAGUAGAGAAAGACUACAGUAUUGCCAUCGAAAUGUGCAUCUGCCUCAAGGAAAUUCGAUCAUGAUAAAAUUCAUCAACGGUUGAAAAGAAAAGGCAAGUUCUGUAUUUUUCUUUCCACCGAAUGUUAUUUAUAUGUGUUGCGCAACAGGUUUGGCUCUUGUCUCCACCUCGAUUCCGGGCCCACAGAUACGCGAUAAAUUUCAUCAACAUUUGAAAUUAAAAAGUGUAAACAAUAUUGAAAUUCUAAGAUUGUUCUACACUGAUAGUGGUAAACCCUUGAACUAUUUCAUAUUUUCAUAUAGUAUAAACACAACAGGAUCGCACAUCCACCAACAACACAUACACUCAGAUCCCCAAAUCAUCCAUGGCAGAGUCAGGCUAACAAGAACAAAAGUGCGAUGAGCGCGUAGAGGUUGCCCACAGUGGGGGUUAUGACGGGCCAAGGAAGAUGAUCCUGGGCAGCCUUGCGCGGUUGAGAACUCUGUCUGAUUGUGGACCGUGGCACCGGUCAGCAAAUAUAUAUACUCGGCCAACCCAUGAGACCAUGGAAAUUGACUUAACCUAGAUCACAUUGUAUACUAUAUAUUUGGACUCAAGCUUGACGCAAACACGUGAACUCCUAGUAGUACAUGUACAUGACUUUGGUUAGUUCCCAAAGAAAUAAAGCCACGUGACAUGCAAGCACCAACUACAUCAUGUUCCAAACAAAACAAUCAAGAUUAUGCUAACACUAGCGUCGGCCACUGCACCACCAAUGGCUGUCAUGGGUUCCCAACUCCAGUAGGAGGUGGGGAAAGUCUCGUCGACGAUACCGGCAAUCAUUCCAAAGCUGCUUGUAUGUACAACUCAGAGCAAGGGGGUAGAACUCGACAUCAACUUGGUUCCUUCCCUUGCCGGGGCUGAACCCGGAGGGCGGAGGUGAUUCAAGGCCAGGCCUCCUCCGUGAGUCCGGCAGCAGCAAGGAAAAUGAAGUGGGCAAAGUCAACCUCAACAAGGCUCCUCCCCUACCCCUGGAGCCAGUAACAUGAAAGCCAAGCACCACAAAGACAAGAAUAGACACAAGGGUAAGCCAGGAAAGUAAGUUGAUCAAUCCCUGGUGAACACCCGGGCGGUGUUGGGUAAAUGCAUGGGACGUGACAGUGAGUCUUGUAGUGAGUUUGUGGCGACACCUAGUUACAAGGGUCCUGGUCUGAACAAGAAGGCAUGAGGUGAGGGUAAUGGAGGUGGCAUGAGCAACAUAGGUGUGUUAGGCGGUAAGGAAGCUAUCGGCCCAUUGGUUGCCGAUGAAUGACAUGUGAUAAGGAAGGCACCUAUCAGGAGAAAUGAGUCGCCUGAUCUAGAAUUGUUGGGGCCUCGGGCAGUCUCGGAUAUUUGAAGAGCUAGUUUGCCUCGUGCACGCGUAUACCACUUGAUGAUCGUUUUACAUUCUGAAACUCAGCAAUGUGAAAGGAGUUUCAAUAAUCUUAAGUGGAUGCUAGGCCGCCAGAAUUGUAUUGUGCAUGAUGGUAAGGGCAAGGGUGUGUUGCGUUGUUGUGAGAUAAAUGAACUAAAAUAAAAAGAUUGCCAUAUACCUGAGGUACAUCAAUGUCUUAAUUCAUGAUGAUUCCCAUGGACCGAAGGGAAAGAGUACCGUCGCCGAAGGGAACUACUAAAAUCCCUGGCCGAUGACUGCACUAAGCUGAGAGUGCUGCAAUAGGAUGUUUGGUCCUGGACAUUAAAGAUUUUGGGUCCAUGAUAAGCAGUACUCACUGGCUGAGAAGGAAUAUUGUAGUGUCCCAUCAAUACUUCUUUUUUGAAGGAAUUGGUGUCCCAUCAAUACUUAAUGCCCCCAUGUCUAAUGAUUGCAAUCAGUAUAUGGUAAUAUACAAGUCUAGUGUUUUCCCUCAAUUAAGUAAAAUAAACACAACUCGAAGAUCAACUAAUUUUUACCUUAAUUUUUCUAGAAAAAAAUAGGGCGAGUUCUUCCCUUACCUUCUUUGAUGUUGAUAGCGGAGGGCGAAGUGGAGGCAACAACUAAAUUCUCCGAUGCCAGUCGUGGCAAGACGUGGCCAUCAGAGAUAGUAUGCCGCUUUCCUCCAUCGCCAAUCAUCAUGCUGGCUCCAGAUCUAGAAAAAAUGGUUGGUCGACCACACCUAGGACUCCAGAUCUGGAUGUAGUUGGUUGCCCAACUGCGGUGACUCCAAAUCUGGAUGCAGUUGGUCGCCCACACCUAGGACUCCAGAUAUGGAUGGAAACACAGUAGGAGCCCACACGGUUGUCUCAACGCAUCAUCCACCGCUCAAUCAUGGGCGGUUCAAGCGCAGUCUCGGCGUGGAUGUCGAGGGGAAGGGGGAACGUGUGUCACGAGAGAGGGAGCGGGGGGGAGGGAGAGAAAGAGAGGAGAGGAGGAGACUGGCGUGUGGGUUUGUUCGUUAUAGAAAAGCUUUACCUAUAGAUUAUUAUGUGAGCCUGCAUACCACAACAAGACCUCCCGUCCUCACGUUUAAAUUGCCCCGCCCUCUCCCACGUGGUGGGCCCACUUCUCACCCUACCGCUCCCAAAAAAGCGUGUAGGAUGAGAGUUGUGCGUGUUGGUCAGUUUGCUCGGUGGAGCGAACAAACGCCACGGAGUCAAUGUGAGGUGCUCCCAGCAAGGAGACAAAAGACACCAUGCAACAUGCUCCGACCGGCCAGGAUUCCUGCAUACAAAUAGUGAACCAUCAGACACCAAUGACCUUACCUCACUCACCAGACACCCGCGACUCCACUCCUAGACACAGGAUGUCGGCGUGAGGUACUCGAUGUUCUCCUAGAAUUCUUGUAGUUGUUCGCCCAUAUUUUUAUUCUUGUUUCUCCUUGUCAACCAAGACCCCUCUACUGAAUUUCCCUUUGGCUUGAGAAUGACGGUUGUGACCUCCAUAACAAUGCAACACUCGUCACCCGACCUCUCCUCUUUGUCCUAUAUGUCGUUGUUGCCGAUGAUAGCAAAGUGAACGAUGCCAAUGACGGUGAUAUCCGCUCUAUGCCAAGGACAGGCACCGCAUGCGAGGGAAUAUCGGUUAUCCGACACCCACGACACAAUCCAUAAGGACGUGUUUUCUUCCCAUCGAAACCUUCUCUCCCAGCCAAAGAUGGCGCCCCUCCUCAAUUUUUUUGUCGGCAUCCACAGAAGCAACUAUCCUAGUGGUCUAUCGAGACCAAGGACACCCGAGCACCAUUCAGAUAUGCUACCAAGAAAGGCGAUGGAGAAGCACGUUGACCAUCAAACGUGCAAGGUAGGGGGAACCUGGUUUAGUAAACUGUAAUAACGAGUUGUAGUGUGCAUCACAAUUAUUGCAUAAACACUCUUUGAUUAAUUAUAAAAAAGUGGAUAAUUCAAAACCUCAUAUAAAAUGCUAUAAAACACACUCAAAUAAUCAAUGCACUGGUAUAAUCCUGCUGAAAAAUACUGAAAUAUUUACCAUAGUUUUCCUAGGGGGUGGCCCUCUCAUUUAACUAGGCAAACAAACCCAAGAAGCAAACACUCAUGAGAGAUAUAAUCAUUUCCUAGUGAAAAAAUAGUGUUACCAACUAAAGAAAGAACAAGCAUGCAUGUAGAACACAUGAGCAAUGAUGUACAUCUGAUUCUUUUUGAAAGAUAUACGAAGGGGCACAGAUAUUGACAUAGAAUAUGGAGUGAGUGAAUUAAAGUUGAGUGGUAGUAGAAUCAAUAUCCGUGACAUCGCACCUUUCAAAGGUUCGAAAUACUCACCGGCUUCGUUAGUAACAAGUGUAUCUGAAUUAUCAUCUGAAAACAACAAAAGUUAUCCAAAGAUUCAUUUUCUGGCGGUAUAACAGUGUCGGGUUCAUCGAGAGAUACCGGCUUCAUUAGUAACAAGUGUAUUUAUUAUCAUAUGGAACAACAAAAGUUAUCCAAAGAUUCGUUUUCUGGUGGUAUAACAGUGUCGGGUUCAUCUAGAGCAUUCUCAUCCUCCUGCGACAUGCCGACAUGUAGGUCAUCGGGCCCAAGAGAGAUGAUUUACUCCGGAACAUGCAACCACCAUCAGUGAUGUGGAGCACGCACGAAAAGAGAUCCACAUGAAUGGAGAUUGCUUAAUCUAAGUAAGCCAAGUUGAGUAGCAUUAGCAUCCAAGUCGUUGUAGUAUAGUGGUAAGUAUAUUUUGUUCAGUGUUAUAUUACACAAAAUGUUCAAUGAUUACAAAUGUUAAAUGCAUUUUCGAAAAUUGUCCAACACAUAUAUUUAUGUUUUUUUAAACGUUCAUCAUAUAUUAAAAAAUGUUCAUUGUGUAUAAUUUAAAUUAUUUAUUUAUAUUAAUAAAAUGUUCAACGCUAUUUACAAAACGUUCAAUGUGUAGUAUUCAGUUUUUUUCAAAGGAAGUUUGGUACUUAAAGCUUCGCGCUGUGAGUCAGUCAGUUGAGGUCAGUAGUUCUGUUGGCUAGUUAUACUAGAUAACGAGAAGGAGGUCACUAGAUCGAGUCCCGGUCGCGUAGCACGUUUUCUGAACCUUUUGCGCGCCUGAAGUUCAAAAGAUCCAAAUGGGCCGGCCCAUUCGUGGCUGGCUUGAGCGAAGCCUCAACAAUUUGCCGCGCACAGGUGGCAAAUAGGAGCUCUCUGCUGAGAGCCCGCUUCUACUGGCCCUGCUACUUCUUAACGCUUCCACAACGGUCGAGGCCUGCUGGGAGCUCGCCUGGCCCAUCCGGCUCUAUUUACCGCAUGAACCCUGGAAAAGUAACAUGUUCGCUCUAGAGCCCUGCUAAGACAUGUUGCGAUGGCGAGCAUGGCAUGUGAUCAGUUCCAAAAGAAAAAGAAAAAAAAAGGCAUGGCGCGUGCUCAAGGACUACAACCUAAUCAUUGUCAGAACGGGCCCUAACUCCGGAACAUGCAACCAUCGUGAUGUGGAGAUCCACAGGAAUUGAUAUUGCUUGGGCUAAGUAACAUAAGUUUAGCAACAUUAAGCAACAAAGUCGUUGUAGCAUAGUGGUAAGUAUUCCCGCCUGUCACGCGGGUGACCCGGGUUCGAUCCCCGGCAACGGCGCAUUUUUUUGUUUUUCUGGCCCAAGACAGGCCAGGCCGAUUUUUUGUUUUUCCGGCCCAAGACAGGCCAGGCCGAUUUUUUGUUUUUCCGGCCCAAGACAGGCCAGGCCGAUUUUUUGUUUUUCCGGCCCAAGACAGGCCAGGCCGAUUUUUUGUUUUUCCGGCCCAAGACAGGCCAGGCCGAUUCUUUCCGGCCUGCCAAGAGCCCGCUCCUGGCCUGCACGCUUCUGGACGCUAUACAACGGUCGAGGCCGACCCACUGCGUCCGAUGGCUCGUGCUCGCCUGGCCCGUCCGGCCCUAUUUAUCUUUUGCGCACCUUGGAUAAGUAUCAUAUUCGCUCUAGAGCCCUGCUAAGACAUUUGCCGUCGCUUAGGGAGUGCUAGAAUCUAGUCAUUGUCCAAAAUGCUUAUACUGAAUACCCACCGAUAUUUUUGAUAAAAGAAGCACUUGCUUUUGGUUUGUGCGUGUUACCCUUGGUUUGUUAGUUUUGGGGCUAUAUUUGCUAGCUCAAAUUUAAAUGAACCAGUGUUAUAUUUUAGAUCAAAUGGGUUAGUGUUGUAUGUUAUGCGUUUAUGACGGCCAUUUUCUCCAAUUUAGCUGGAAGAAGUUGUCAAUUUUUGAACUUGGCUCAGUUGAUUUCCUUGGAAGGAAGAAUGAAGCAUGGCGGACCAGGGAGGCCGGGUCUCUGCGGCAUUGGGCAAGGUGUCGACAAGGCCACGGCCAGUAACGAGUUGUAGCUAGUGGUGAGUCAACAAAGGAGAUUUCGAACGUUAAGGGUUUGUGCUGCAGGCCUGUAGACAAAUUCUGGUGGUUCGCCAAUUUAGAGGGAUGCCCGGGGGUGGAACUAGCACAGUAGUGAGGGGAGCAGGGUGGCAGAGGCAGACGGUUCGACCGAUGGUCGUGGGUGGUUCCGGAAAGAAGAUGGGCAAGGGAGGACGAGAGUUGGAAGAAGGUUAUCUGGUCAUUGAACACACAUCAGAAGGUUAAAAAACUAUCAACCCACCCAAAUAUGUUUUCUUCUUAUUCUUCAAUCUGCUGGCCUCUAACCCCUUUUUCUCAUGGGUAACCGUGUCAAGAUGAUUCUUAAACGCCAAUUAGGGUAGGAACAUGUUUUUUGUGUUUUCUUUUGGAGCUGCAUAGAUAGAAUAGAAAUCAAAUUUAAGCUAGAUUUGUCUUCACUAGAAUCGUUUAUCCAGAUUUAUGCUCACUUAAUCGUCAUAUAGGUGACUUUGUAUUUUUUAUUUUUUUAGAAAAGGAGGAAUACCCCCGCCCUCUGCAUCUGGACGAUGCAUACGGCCAUUUUAUUAAUUAUUAACACAAGACCUUACAAAGUCGUACAACAGUAAGACCAAAGCAACCAUCUAAGCAACAUUUGUCGCUACUCCUAUCCAGUUGAUGAAGGGGCGCUGAUAGUUUGGGCCUAAGACCAAACAGACCUCGCAGCCAAACCUAACAUCUAAGACCUAAGGUCCCAACCAGGACGCCUGCCGGGUAUGGGCACCCACCAGUCCGGCGUGCUCCUCAACUAGGAUGCCUGCCGGGUAUGAGGCCGCCGCAGCCACCUGCCACCAAUCCAUCUUCGAGUUGUACUCUGCUGCAUCGACCUUGCCCAGUCUAGCUGCCGCCAACGCCACCACGACGCCAGACAGCGUCGACCUCCUGCGCGUGUCCAUCAUCACACAUCUGACGCCAAGCCUCCGCUGCUCCAUGCCGCCAAGAGCCGCCGCCAUGAAUAUGUAGAAAGAAACACCGUUCCACUGAAGAAGCCAUCCGCUGGUCCCUCGAGCCCGAGUGCAUCUUCAAGAAUGCCGCCCCCAAGGGGGUAACGACACAUGAAUGCCGUCGUCAUCCGAUCAACUGAUCUAGGGUUUUCGUCAAAGGUAUUGGGUGGGUUUGGGAUUUGUACCUCGACGAUACCUUCAUGAAGGAAACGAUGAUAAGGGCAUCGUCAUCAUCGUCUUCGGCCAAUGACCGAAGACCAAGUUUUAAGUCGGAUCCGUCCCAAGAAAACCACCCGACAACAUGUGCACCGUCUCGACCGCCUUCAAAGCCCCAGAUCCAGCCGCCGAGAUACGGCGACCAACCGCAACAAGUGCCACCAUAGGAGCCCUGGCACACCGGCCACAGCCUGAGUGUGCCACCAGUGGAGCCUAGGAGGAGGGCUCCCACCCCGCCUCGCCAAGCCGCAAGUGUCGCCGAGAUGGAUUUCGCACACUCGUCGCCGUCUCUGAUCCGAACCAAUCCAUAGCAGAUCGCCAUCACAGAUCCGCCUUGGACAGGGACAACACGCCAUGCCGCCGCGAGAAGCCCUAGCUUCACCAACCGCCACCAUCCAGGGCCGCCGCCCCGGGAUCCAGACAGAACAUCGCCGCUGCCAUCGGCCAUGUUCCGCCGCCGCCGACCGGCCAAGCCGCUGGCCAGUGCGACCUACGCCGCCAUGACCAAGCACGCCCACCAGUAGCCGGCACCACCAGAUCUUCCACGAAGCCCGCCGCUUCGCCGCCUCCUCCCAUCACCAUGCCGCCAAGGCGCUGUCGGCGGCGUCAGAUCGGCCGCGUCGCCGCGACGACGGCUCAGAUUGGGGAGGAGGGCCCCUGCGCCCUGGGUGACCCGCCUCGCCCAAAGGAACAUGGGAGGGAAGGGAGCCUCCGCCGCCGCCGUCAGCCGCCCGGGGCUUUGCCCGGCAGCCUCCUCCAACGGCGGCGGAGGGGAGGGGAGGGGAGGGGUUGUGAGCCCGGCGGUGGUGGGGGUAGGGUUUCGCCCGAGCCGCCCUAGCGGGGGCGACACGGGGAUCGUCACAGGGCCUGACAAAACCUCUGCUUUUCUUUCUUUCUGCGGGAGGUGACUCUGUAUUUCACUAGACAAAUCAUUCUUAUGAAGUUUCAGCGGGACUUGUAUCAAGUGUAGCUUCUCAAUAGAAUUAUAUUCUAGUAUACAGAUCGUUCAUUUUGUUAUCUUAUCUCCAACCUUCCGAGCAAUGAAACUCAAUGUGGUUGGUAUGCUUGUUCAAUUUUUGGUAACCUCAAUGGUUUCUUGACUUCGGCACCAAAUAUAUAGAGCACAGGAAUAUUAAUAUAUAUUGUCUCUUGUGAUUGUGUUGCACAACGGUCAAUGACUAUGACAUAUCGGCAAUUAAUCGGCUUCUGAUGUAGCAUUGAUUUUUGUCUUGUGUGUUGGAUAAUAAUUUUAGUUAUGUCAAUGCUUUUAUCAAAUCCAUUAACAUUUUUAUGAAACUCGUUCAUGUGUGUAUGUUCCAUGAUCUCAUGCACGGAAGGGUUGGGUGGUUCAAAUUUGUCCUUUUCUUCGUGUUCAUUUUUUCAAACGAAAUAUCUCUCAAACUGUGCGUCCAAAUUAUGAACGGUUUUCACCGUCUUUGCAUUGAGAUCUUCAAAACUACAUCACAUGUUGAUAGGUUCUGAUACUUUUUUAGUAAAUUUGUGCUUCCAACUUGGAUUCGGAUCCUCUGACUUGGGAAGAGAAGUCAGGGAAGCUACAACACCCUGACUUCCCUUCACUAGAUUUCCGUAAAUAACAAUUUAACACAGCGAUUAUGUGCUUUAUCUACAAUAGUCUAUGAAUCUACAGUGGUGAAUGAACAGUGCCAGCUCUCUGUCUUUCCUUCCAUGUUUUACACACAUAAGGCAUUGUAGCCCCUGACUUGCCUCCUGCAUGUCAGAGGAUCCAUCUCCCCCUAGCGUGGGGCACAACAGUGCUAUCAUGUGAAGCGCACAUAUGCUUCUAGCACGAACUAAUUCGUGCUCGCAGCUAAUACUAACUCGUGAGCCACCUAUUUCUAACGUGUGCUUCCGCACAAAGUGCAUAUGUGGCCCACGCGGAGACCACACAUGAAGUCCACAAAAAACCUUAGAAUGGAACCCUAGAAAAAAAGGAAAUGCGAAAAAACCAGCAAAACUAAAAAAGAAAAGAAAAAUUAACUCUAGUGCGGGUUCCGUCUUGCGUGCGACAUAUGGCAACGGUUUUAUUGGGACGCAUGAUGAUGACUUGAAGCACCACCUGGCGAUCGCGUGCUCUCACAACCCAAAGAAAUGCCCCGCGUGGGGAACCCUUGAUUAGUUGCUCUAAGAAACAUGAGAGUGCCUAUAUGACGCAUUAAGCGGCAAACAGUCAGUCUCCCACAGAGGGGAGCGCCUUGAUUGGGCCAGCCCAGGACGUAUUGUAGUGGCUCGGCUACUUUAGCUAGCUCAGCUAUUGUAUCGAGCCGGCUGCUAUAGCAGUGUUUUUUAAAGUUUCUUUUUGUUUUCAUCAGUUUUUUGGAAUAUGUGAUUUUUGUGUGAAUGUUGUUUGAAAUUUCUGAACAUUUAUUGGAAAAAUGAAUAAUUUUAAAAUUUUGAACAUGGUUUUUGAAAAAGCAAAAAUGUUUUGAAAUUGCAAAUAUUUUAUGGAAACAACUUGGAACUUUUUAAAAAAUUCCAACAUAUUAUUUAAAAUGACCCUUUUUGAACCUUGUGUUUGAAAACAUGAAAAAAAAACUGAACUUGCAGAAACUUUGCAAAACACAAAAAGAAAUUGUACUUAUUAAAAAACGAACACUUCUUAAUUUUUUGAACCACUGAAGGAAAAUAAAAAAUUUCAUGAAUAAAACAACCAAAAAUAAACAGUUCAGAACCUUUUAGAGGGCUUCCCCGGACAGAAAACCUUGUAGAAGGUUCCUUUUCUUUUUUGAGAAAUGUAGAAGGUUCCUAAACUGGGAUUGGUAGAAGCGUGUAAUUUCACGGGUUUUUUAGGGGUUAGUUUUGCGGUUAAAUGGGCGAAGCGUCCACAUAGGAUUUACCAAUCGUUUCAAAAUAGUUGGGACUGGGCCGGGCCGACAUUACAACUGGAAGAGUUAAAAAAUAUUGAAAAGAAAAACCCAGAUCUGCGCCGUACUGCUGUACAGGUUCCUCUGCUCAGCCUAAAAAAAAUCUGAGAGAUGGAAGAAACGGCGGCGCGCAUGGAGGAGCAGCCGCGGGAGAUGGACGCGCAUCCUCCUUCCUCGUCGCCGGCGACCGCUUCUUCGUCCUCGUCCUCGUCGCCGACGUAAUACCCCCAAGCCCUACCUCGUCUUCGUCUUCCUUUUCUGGUUAAUUUCGUUCGUGGAAAGAGUAUACAGAUUUCAGAGUGCGAAGUUCUUUCUGCGUCCCAUCCCCUUCCCGUUCACCUGUAGAUGUUGCAUCAGAUCCAGCUAUAUAUCUGUAAGAUUAAUCACACUGUACCUCGAUAUGGAACUGAAUUUGGUUGAUAUAAUUAUGGCAAAGAUUGAUUCUGCUUAUUGUCAAUGGCAAACAAUCCAGAUUGAAACUAUCCCUACUUUAGAUCUCCCACAUUGCAUUUUUUUGGCUGAUUCAGUUUGACAACUAGGUGCUGUCAGUCAGUAUCAAAGCAACCUGUAUGGAACUUCAGUAGGCCCAAAGAUUGUGAGAUGCAGUUCAGUAGGCCCAAAGAUUUAUAUGAAACUUCAGCAACCUGUAUCUACCGCGUAUAGCUUCUCCAUAGAACUGAAAUUCAGUGUCUGCGUCGUUGUUGAUCUUAUUCUGAGGCAACAACUCAGUGUAAUAUGUAUCUUUGUUUAGCUCAGGUCAUGUUUCCUAGAAUCUUGGUAGCUCCUCUUCUUUUUCAUACAAUUAUAUCUAGCUUGGCAUGACUAACCUUUUGUCCUGAAUUUGUUGUGUCCAACAGGGAGAGCGCCGCCAUGCGAAUCAGCGCUAAGAGAACCUGCUAUGCCUCUGCUUCCUCUGUCUUUGCCGCAUCCGGGCCACGAGGAUGGGUAGAGCUCCCGGAAGAUUUGCUCCAAUGUGUCGUUGCUCUCCUCGGCUCCUCCCGCGACCUCCUCGCCUUCGGUGCCACCUGUCGUCCUUGGCGUGAUCUCUUCUCGGUAUGCACGUCCUCUUUGCAGCCUCUCCUCCUACACCCGAGUGCCGACAGCAAACUAUCUCCCCAGUUUAACCGCUGGACGACCUUGCAAGGAUGCACGUGGAGAUUGGCUGAUCCUGCUGGCACCUCAUCCUAUCCCAGUUUGCUUUCCUUGAGUGACCUCAGAGGCAUGUUCUUUCUUCGCUACUCAUACGGCCACCUCAUCUUCUGCGACGAUGAUGGGUUCUACAUUGUUAAUGCCUUCAGUGGCGCUAAGGUUGUUCCUCCUUGCCUCAAGUCAGAUCACUUCACCAGCAUCAGCUAUGCCACCUUGACUGCCCCUGAUGCAUCCGAUGACUCACAUCUCCUUGUUGGCAGUGGAGCCUAUCUGUUCCGGUGGCGCAUCGGGAGCGACUCUUGGUUCGAACACUAUCCUAAAGUUAAUUUUCUUAAGAUUGAACAAGUUGUGGCCCUGAAGGGCAAAACAUAUGCCCUAGGGUCUUUCGGGUCCUUCUGCAUUGUACAAUUCUUACCCAGUCUCUUAAUUCAGAAGUUUGAAGUUAUACUUGAGGAAGAUAGCACCAAAGAUCUUUAUUGGACAAAUAAAAAAACAUGGCUUGUUGCGUGUGGUGACGCGCUUCUUUUGAUCAAACUUGAGGCAUCAAGAAAGACAUUCUCGGAGGUCAUCCAGUUCAAGGCCUUCAAGCUUGAGUCGUUGGACACCGUGAGCAAGAAGGCAAGGUGGGUGAAGGUGGACAGGUUGGAUAACUGGGCCAUCUUUGUCAGCGCGGACGUGCGAUGCGAGGCAUUGCCAUGCAUGAACCCACAGAGAUGGGGAGGCAGAAGCAACCACAUAUACUUCCCAAGUUAUCAGCCUGAACAGCCUUGGGCUGCAGUCCAACUAUGGCAAAAACAUAACGACUGUUCAACACAUUCGCAGCUCGAGAACACUGGAAACCGGUACCGCAGAUUGGAGUCAACCUGGGUGAUUCCAAGCACGUUUCCUCGCUCUGGUCAGUGAUGAUCUUUGGGGCAAUCGUACAUGCAUCUGGUGUAGCUUCUGAUACAACUUCCGUGGGAGAAUUCUACCAUGUUGCAGUUGCAGGACGAGUAGUUGACUGAAUGUUGCUGACUUGUUUUCCAAAGUUACUGAUGUUGAACUCUACUUUUUCUUGUGUGGUGAUUACAAGGGACCCGUAUUAUAUUUCAUUUCUCAUCUACUAGAAAUUGUAGAGAUUUUUUGUAAUUGAGCCACUUGAUAACAUGGGCUAGGCCUGCAACUAUCUUUCAUACUAGACCUGUGGCUAAGCCCAAAAUGCAAAUUCAUACUGCCUACCAGCUAGCAUCUCUGCUCAUUAUUCAUUUGGUAAGCUAUAAGCCUACUUUCAUUCUUCAUCUUUCCAUACUACUAUAAACCUAUAAUGUUUACCCUUAUCUUUGUAAGAGUUUCUAGAAUCAUUUCGAUGCUAAUCCGCCAUCGCAUAUCAGCUGUUGAACAACUGUUCAGACCUUAUCAUCUUAAACAAAUGGUUUGUUUUGGCCAGAAUUCUAAAGAUGUUAUACCACCCAAAAUUUCUCAAAGUAAAAAAACAAGAAUCUACCAGCACAUCUCUUUUUCCUUGUGGAUGCGAUCACUUUGAUGACCCCUUUAUCCUUUAGGACCAAAGAAAAUAUGCUAGUUGCCAAUGUGGAAAAACAGAACACACAUAUAUACACCAUGUUGCUGUUUAACAAUGACAGGAAUAAAGACUGGUCUAGCUCAUCGCCAUCAUCUUUUUGUGCUUUCAAACCUUUUGCUUUCCCUGUCUAGCAUGCCCCAUCAUUCGAAUCCCCACAAGGCCUCAACAUCUUGAUGGCAUCAAGGGAGAGAAAAAGACACACAUCCACGCCACAGGCAUGGCGGGCACGGCGUCUAUAUGGGACUCAUGUUAGACUUUAGGCUUUGAAUCUUCCUGGCUUUGGGUGCCGAUGAAUCAAUGCGACCGGCAGGUGCGGCACCCAUGUCGCCAUAGAUUGGACAAGGUUCACAAACACCUUGAUGAAAAAGGAUUGGCAGAUAACAAUUUCUUCGAGUUUCUUUCACCAACUAGUAUCCUGAAAAUUUUAUCUGUUUGGGAAAGGUGGGUGAUUUACUCGUACUUCAAUAUACAGUAUGUAGAUAUGUAUAUAGCUUCUCAUCGUCAUUCGGUCGCUGCGAAGUUCACUUCUUAAUUUCUCCUGUGGUGGUAGAUAAAAAGUUUUAGCUACCAGCAUAUGCCAUCCACUCAACAUCUCUUUAUGUAAAUGUAAAGUAAAUAAAGGAGCUACUUAUCGUAAUGAAAAAGCUUUUGGGGGGUCACAUCUGGUGAGAAAACAAUCCUUCCUAGACGGCAACAAGACAAACUUCACAACUGAACGGUUGGAAAAUCACCAAAGGGCCAUAGAAUUUGUGUUCCAAUCCCCACGCAUGAAAAGGAUAUGUAUGAGCAGUUGAAGACGGAUCAGAAUUUGGAACACGCGAAUAGAUUUGACUUUACGCAGCCUUGUCACCUCAGCUUUUUUUAAUUUUCCUGUGUCAACUUUCUUACCUACUCCCUCCGUUCCUAAAUAUUUGUCUUUCUAGAAAUUUCAAAUGACUACUACAUACGGAUGUAUGUAGACAUAUUUUAAAGUGUAGAUUCACUCAUUUUGCUCCGUAUGUAGUCACUUGUUGAAAUGCCUAGAAAGACAAGUAUUUAGGAACGGAGGGAGUAGAAAAGAUAUGGCUGCUGCCUGUGCUUGCAUAAUCUAUCUUGGAUCAGGUAAAUGGAUUUUUGCUGGGGAUGUCAUUCCUUCCUUUCUGUACAUGAUGACAGCGUUGACACUUAUAGUUCUAGACAAGAAGAUGUCAUGUGUACUUUCUCCUAGGACUAUUCACAUUGAAAGCAUACAGGUUGUACAACAACCCAGCAAAUUUCAACCAUGUUCAUUUACUCCAUUCCAAGAAAUAAUCAUACUGCAGGAGAAAACUUUGUGCGCUACAGUCUGGUAAACUGGUCACAAUCUGGAGAGGAACAUAAGAACUUUUCAGUACAUACUAUUUUUAUAUUAUCUUUGUAUUCCUUUAGGCACUAUUUUCAUUCUGCCUUCUUUCAAAUGGUUCCUUUGCAAUUAUGACCACUAUUUUUUUCUGAUUACAUUUUUUUGAAAAAACAAUAUAAACAUAUUGAGAUGGAAUUAUUCAUCACGACAAGUCGACAACUCCAAUAACUAAUACGCAUAAGACAUACUUUUGUGCGCAUCUGUGGUCAAAGUUUCAGAAAACUGAAGUACAUAUUCUUGAGCAGCAUCCCAAAAAAGAGCCGAGGGGGCAGCGCAACGACAAACGCUAGUGAAAAAGGAAAAGGAGAAGAUAUGUUCUUGUUGAUCCAUGUAGAAUUGCAACUUAUUAUUAAGGUCCAAUAUAUACCAGCAACAUGCUACUUUCCUGAAUCUACGGCGCCACUGAAUUCGUGAGACAUACUCAUGCUGCUGCUUAAGUAUGUAAGUAGUAGUGGUGGAUCUGCACCAACUUGGGCACUCAGAAUUAGGGCCUUGUGCUUUGUGGUCAGGUGUCCUGUCGGGUCCAUAUAUGCCUGCAUUAUCCCCCAAAUGCCGGCUGUCACGGGCGCACAGCCGUAUGCAUCAAGUGAUCACUCACAGCAAAUGCAGGCCAUCCCCGUCGCUUAGUUAGUGGUCGAAAGAGCAUCUUGAAAGCUAGGCUUGUUGAACACUUUGUAUAUCCUAGUACAACCUGACAUUGCUUGUGGUUGGGGCCACUUAAUUUAAUCUUGUCGACGAAAGUACAUGAUUAACUCCUAGCUAUGUUGAUGCUCUAAUCAGUUUGAUGAGAGAGAAGGGGUGCCGACUAAUAAAAAUAACUAACUCGCUUCGUUCAUUCGUGCAUAUCGUGUUCUGACCACUUAAAUUCAGGCUUUGAACAGCAACUAUUUCAACAAUAUGCGGGUUGUGUUACACAAAAUCAAUACCAUUCAAAAAACACAGUGACAAACACAUCUUGUAGCUGUAUUUUUUAUAACCGUUACGUCCAAAGUAUUUAACAGUGAAAGCUCAUACAUAACAAUCAAAAUGCACCCUACAUUCCGGAACAGAGGGCAUAAUAAUUAGAUAAACGCGUGUCUAGAUCAAAGAACUACUUGAAUAAAUUCGGCAUCACAGCUAGUGCAUUGUGUUCUGCCCUUUUUUCUCCAUCUUUUUUGUUUCCAACAAUAAAGAGGAGAAAAUAUGUCGAGCGAUUAACAUUUGCUGCCACUAGUACGUACUACCACACUAAUCAGUGACCGGGACAGCUUAGGAUCUGGCGAGUGCGAAUCUCAACUCUUAUCUUUUCCUUUCUUUCCUUUUUCCACUAGUAUAAGUACCUCUUUUCCUUUUUCCGCCGUUCAAAAAGAGUUGGCGUGCGCGCGCUCGCUUUGAUCCUGUUUUCUCACUCUUUUCUCCUCUCCUCCUGUUUCCGUGGCGUUGAGCGCCACUUUGCGCCCUUUGAGCAGUACAAUCAGCCUGAUCUGAUGAAUCUCAAGUACAUCAUCAUCAUCGUAAAGUAAUACGCGAGCAGGGCCCGUUCUUUGGACGAUUCAGACGAGCCUUGACUGUACUUGCCAUUAUCCUUAAGAACUGUAUCACCAGCAUAAUCACACUCCCUCAUUAGUAGUCGUUGCCAUCACAGGGGCGCCUCCUAACCAUAACCACACGGUAAAACCUGAGGAAGACAGGUGUCUUCCAUUAGAAUUGUGUAUGUAUCUAGUGCCCGUGCACGUACGGGGCCUCGAGGUUGAGACGGCAGGCAGGCAGGCGGGCAGGAAUCUUGCCAGUUGGAAGCGUGCGUAUGAUUCUUUCCGGUGCGAAUAUCGAUAUGAAAAAUAAGGGAAAUGAGGCAGGUGUGGUUAGGUUGGGAACAUUGAUUAAUUAGUUUAUUUAUUACAAAGAAACCAAGUGCUCUGGUCAACUCCCUUGCUCUACCACAAAUAUCUCGAAUCUUAACUAUAGUACUGUGAGCACCAGGCAUCUCUUUAAUGCAAAUUGAGGAUUAACAAGUAUAGCAGGAGUGUUAGUAGAUAAACUAACGGUGGGCAUUCAACUGCUACUGCUCCUAGGUUUUGUUGUGGAGCAGAGCAGGUAAGGUGGACAAGAGAAGACCCCGGGACAGACGUGUGGCUGACCUGGCACUAGUUAAAGCAGCUAAGCUAAUUAGCACUAGUGGUUCAAACGGCUAGCUAAUAACUCUCUAUAUCUCUCUCUCUAUUGUGAUAUGACCGUUGUGUAACGGCUAGCUAGGUCCAAGAACGGGUCAACGAUCUCUCUGAAACCGUAGGCGAGAGAGAGAGAGAGAUUCGAAAGCGGUCAGGCAGAAGCAAACGGCAGAGGCAGGAAUCAGGCCAUCCAUGAUGCAUGCCCAGUUUCAGCUCCCUCCCUCCCUCGCAUCUUAGGGCAUCUCCAACCGCGCCCCAGGAAGGCCUCCCCAGGCGUUUUUUUCGCGCCGGCGCCGAAAAAACGGCCCAGUCGCGCCCCAGGAGCCCGAUUUUCGCCGGCUUGGGCCGAAAACAGCGCCGGCGGACCCAGCCCGAACCCGGCGCGUUGGGGGGGCGCCCGGGGGCGCCGGGCGAACUGUUUUGGCGCGAAAAAGCCGCGGGCCCGCCGCGUCAGCGACACGGCUCUCUUCUCGGCCCUUCGUCGUCCUCAUCGCCUCGUUUCCCGCGGCGAAUCAAUGCCAAAGUUGCCGCGCGCUGCCGCGCGGGUCAGCCUGCACCAUUGAUGCCUCACGGGCGGCGCAGUGAAGACCGGACGACGCGCGUCCCUCGCCCUCCCUCGCCCGCCACGCGUACACACGGUGGCACGCGUGCCUUGGCCUAUAUAUGACGCGCCCCGGCGCACUCGGCGACUCACACUCUCCCGCCGUCGUCGUUCCUCCCUCUCCUCUCCUCUCUUUCGCCGUCUCCAGUUCACACCCAUGUCCGAGCGCUUCCCAGGCGACGACGCGGCGGCGAACGGCUUCGACCGCCGCCAUCUUCAUGAAGACGAGGCUCGCCUCCUUUACGAGGCCGAGUACCCGGUCCCGCCGGACAUGCGGGUGCCCGGGGCGUGGAGGAUCAACGCGGGCGGCGUGCCGGUGCCCCCGGUACCCACCGGCGCGGUGCGGCGUGCGGAGAUCGCACGCAUCCGCGCGAACCUGCCGCGUGCGGCGAGGGAGGGGCCACGGUACGUCCCAGACAGCCCGCUCUGGGACCCUUACUUCCGCCGCCGUCACGCCCAGUAGCUCGAGGCCACCAACGGCGUCGUGCCCUCCGGCAGGCUCAACGCCGCCGGCCGGCGUGGGUGGUGGGGCGUGCCCGGGCGCACGUUGGAGGCCGUCCUCGAGGAGAUGGUCCGGCAGCGCCGGGCCCUGGAGGAGAUCACCGCCCGCAAGCGUGGGCGCGAGGACGAGCACGGCGUCGUGGUCCUCGACAGCGACGACGACGACGCCCCCGGACCGUCCAACCCGCCGCGCCAACCGGGGGAGGGAUGCAGCAGGGACGGCGGAGGCGUAGGUGGGGGCGACGACGACGAUGACGACGACGGCGGUGACUACACGCGGUUCUACAGCCUCCUCGGCAUGUAGAACCGCGUGGGCGGGCGGAGAGGCGGGCGGCGAGGGAGACGGCGGGGGUAGCCCGCGGUAGUUUUUUUUUCUUUUUUUGUAAAAUAUGUUUAAGUUUGAACGAACCCGCCGAUGUUUGCAUUAAAUUUGAGUCGUUUUUCGCCGUAUUUGACUUUUUUGACUAACUGUGGGCGCCGCGACUGGGGGACAUCACGCCCCCAGUGCACGGUUUAGCGCCCCUAUGGGCGAUUUUUUGCCCUCCUGGGGGGCCAACGGCUGGAGAUGCCCUUAUAUCUCUCUCUUUUCUUGUCACUACCUACAUAUAGAUAUAGGUGAUUAAUUAAGGAGAGGCUAAUCAAGGGCCAAAGUUGACGGUGUUAUUAUGCGUUGGUAACCGUGCUGGCUGCAACGGUAACGAAAAAAUAAUAAAUAAAAAAAAGGACAGACAGGGAGUGGAUGCCGGCAAGGCCCUUUUGUCGUUAGCUUGCCGCUUGUGCGGGACGCAGGCGCACCCGCUGCCAAUCAUGGCUGGCACUUGAGUUGAGAUUUCUCCCAUUUCAUUUCACCUUGAGGGAGGGAGCAUCAAUCAAAGAGAAAACAGGGAGUGAUGGAGCACCAUACCCACGCCACGGUGCGCCGAGGGUGCAAUUGUCCCUCUCUGCCUGCUCGGGUCUCCUCGUUUCCAAGUUUUUUUUUUAAAAAAAAAACCUUGAAGUGAUAUGUGCAUGUGCAAGAUGUAAAUUAUCUCAUCGGAUGGCUAUUGCGCGUGCAAGAUUCCAUCAACAAUAUAUGUGUAAAUUCCACUUGUGUUUUCUUGUUUUUUUUUUCCUUAGGGUCGUGCAUAUGUAGGAGAGGGACAUGCAUGAGCCCAUGCCGGCCUAGUUAAGCUAGGAUAUAUGCGCGUCAAUGUUUGUGUGUUGGUGUGAUGUGAUGCCAUACUAUGCUACGCCAACUUGCCAACAUCAUUACCAUUUUCCUAUCUACACUGCGCUAAUGGUAUGUAGGUCAUCCCUCCGAGCCUGAGGUGAGCCCAGCCCACACAUAAUCAUACAUUGAUACUCACAAUUUGCUAGGCUUGACGGUGACAUGCGUGGGCAUGGCUAGAGAUGAGACCUGCGCUGCAGGCCGCUUAGGUUUUCUAUGGAGACUUCUUGGUUUGUGUCCAAGCCGUUUUUUCAACGUGUUGGGUUAAUAUUGGAUGGGAUACAUACAUCAUGCAUAUAUAAUACCCCAAAGAGGGAGGGAUUCGAAUAUACCUAAAGCCAAUACGAAUACAUGGGAAAUUAUGCAUAUAUAGCAAAGUUGAGUUGCACGUGCUACUUUACUUACGCAAGCUACACGCACGCAACCCUCAACUGAAUUUCACCCUAAUUCUCCCAUAGUUGAACAGUGAAAUCAUGGAAACAAGAUUCAAAAAAAUGAAUUUCAAUUCCGAUGCUUUUAAAAGACAAAAUUUAAGCACCAACUUUUUUUUCCCGCUCAUGACACAGUCCUUGUCCUUUUUCCCCAGAUCAUCUACAUGUAUACAUGUGUAUGUAACCUUUUGCGAGGUUUUUUCUUUUUACAUAAAAAAAAGCAUCAUCCGAUUUGAAUAUCCACAUUCUACCGUGAUAACUUAUUUUUCAACGAGAUGAUUAAGUAUACACAUACGACUUUGCCUAAGGAUAAGUCUCCCCAGAAAAGACUUGUCUCUUUUUACGUAAACCAACCGUCCACACAAGUCUGUGCAAACAUCGACAACCAAAAAUAAGGAAAAUCAUGCAAAAUUAUUUAAUCUCGACAAACUAAAAUAUGAACAUUUGGACAUAGAGCUUACGUCCUGCUGCCCAUAGGGCUUGUAGUUUAGUCUUUGUAAACACAUCAUCAUGGAGUUCAAAGUCCAACCAGCCAUCAACAACAACAAUAAUUAAUCAAUUGAAUUUAAUCGAGUUAUUGGGUAGGGGAAAAGUCGCACUUCUAGACACCACCCAACAUGCGAUUAGUCUUCUCGAAUACCUCCCAUAAAAUUGUCUCCUUCACGCUUAGAUGAUUCAAUGGUUUUAUCAUUAGGAAAUGCAUGGAUAACCACUCUCACUUGCAACAGGCCAUAGCAUAAGCUUCUUGACUGUGGACUUGGGCAAAAGAGAUGUGAUUAUCAAAGAAAAAUAUGUGUGUGAUGACAUGAUAAUGACCAGGUCUAGAUGCUUUUUCAACCUCAAAGUUGCAUGUGUAAAGGAGUCAGCUCAUCUAGAUACAACCAAAGAAACAACAUUUCAAAAGUGUUAUACGAAUUCAAGAAAGCAAUAAAUGCGAGAAGAACAAUUGAUAAAUAACCGCACAUAAUCGUCGUUUGGCGUAUGAAAGCGGGCUUAGCGAAAAAAUACUUGACUUGUUUGUGCUCCCUCUGGUGUAAUUUUCUCCGUGUCUUUUUGCUCUCGGGUCCGUGUUAAACGUCACCUCUUAUCAUAAUUGACACAACUUGAACACUAAUGACACCAUCACUGUAUCUGAGUUGACAAAUACCAUGGACAAGAAGAGAAAUAACAGUACAAAAGCACAUCAUUAUUCAUUUAAGCUAAUCACAAUUAAUACGACUUGAUGUGUACGUCGAGACUGCUGGACAUGGACAGCUCCAUGGACCUCCAUAUACGUCUGCCUCUUGACCUACCAUCACCAUUUAUUACCCCUUUAUUUUCCAUGUUGUUCUUGACGGCUCCAUAUAUAUUUUUCUAUAAAAUCGCUGCAAUUUGUUAUUUUGCAGCUCUUUUAUCCGACUUUGUCGAUUAGGGUGAGCCCUCCAUUGACUUUUUCAUGACAGUUAGUUGAUGAGGCAGAGAUAUUCUUAGGAGCAGGUGAAGACAAGAGCACAAGAAAAAAGGAUCAUCUUAUUCUGAUGGAAGAAAAGUUUAUCCUCCUUCCAACCCAACAAACUCGAAAGAUCAAUUAAUAAUAGUUGCUUCAUUUGGUCAUGAUGCUGUUCUUUUUUUUUUUGCAGGUAAUAUGGUGUACAAAUGGUGCAGUGUGUGUCAGGUUCAAAAGGGAAAGAGAAAAGAACAGAGCUUUCUUCAAGUACAGGGUAGUAUUAGUAUUUAUCUCAGUCCUUCUGGUGAUUGUUUUUUGGGGGAUUAAACAUAUGGGGUGCAAUGCAAGUACAAUGUGUAGUGCAAUCAUCAAUUGAUAAAACAAAAGUAAAAAGUAAAAAAAAAAUACAACACAUGUUGUUGAGAACUUGAAAUGCAAGCCCAGAUGCAUCCACCCUUUGGCAAGAGUGGAAGGUCAUUAGCAUCAACAAUAUUUUUCACAAGAAAAAAUUAGCAUCAACAAUUUGCAAGGGGCACCAGACAGAGACUCAUCAUUUGGCAAGAACAGAUGUCAGUCAUUAGCUUGGCAUCAUGUAAGAAAAUGGCCAUGAUGUGCCCUGAUAAUGAUGUGUUCUGUCAUAAAAAAAUUAGUGGAGUGCCCUGAUGAUGACAUGGUCCUGUGUUUGCAAGGUGCCAUAUUGUUUUCAUUCAAAACCAAUGGAAAAACACUCAUCCAAGUUUCCAGAAUAGCAGCACAUUUGCAGAAUGAACCAAAACAAAGUUCCUUUGUACUAGAGUGAAAGAAGAAGCACCAGGCAGAUUGCACCAGAAGUUUUUAUUUUCACUCUACACAAUCACAUUUUCGACAUAAAUCACGAAGCAUGACUGCUAGAGAUUUUUCAGGGAGGACAGGGCGAUGAACAAGGAACCAUAUCACCAUCAGUUACAAUUGUCUUUCUUCCAAGCAAAAGAAUUUAACAACACAUUAACAGAGCUGCUAGCACACUCCCUCUACCACUAUGUCAACAUCAUCAUAAUCAUCAUGCAUCAAAGGGGCAGAGCACCGGAUUAACAGUGUCACUGAGACAUGAACAAGAAAGAAAAAACAAGAAAAAUAGAAGAACAAAUCAUACCCUCUCACAAGCACAACGCACCACAACAAUGGUAGCAAGAAAUCUUUCCAACCAACCAACCAUGAAAUGUAUCAA